rnacentral:lncRNA from 1 species
AUUCCAUAUCUUUUAAUAUUUUGAUUUUUUCAUGUUAUUCCAAAUAUUUUCUCAUAUUUUAUGUGCAUCUUUCUUCAUUUGGUAUUUAAUCCAGUUUUCAAUGUGCAAUAAAUGCGAAUAUUUUAGUCAAAUUUGUAUAUAUUUUUUAUUUUUAAAUUAUUUGCAUAACCUUAAACAUCAAAAUAUAUGAAACAGAGAGGUAUGUUUUAAUUAUAUUCUCCACUAAUCAACAAAAUGUCAAAAUCAAUCAAGGAUUGUUUCCCUUGUCUAUACCACAAACAUCUUCAUAAUAAAAUUUAUUUCUUUAUCUUUAAAUAUAUCAACUUAUCUACAACUCUCUUAUGGUAUUGUUGAUAUUGUUAGAUGAUGGACAUGAUAAUAUAUUAUUUUGGGGAUGAAAAUUGAUGUCCAUUGAAGUUAGUACAACCUUAAUUAAAUAAUAGAGUACUUAUAUAUUAUUAAUUUAUUAUAACUUUAACUAUUUGGAGAGCAAAUGUAAUUACAUAAUGUCUAUUAUGACUUUUCACAUGUCUUUAUGAUUGUUAAUGACCAAAUCUUUAUAAUUAAAGAUAUUCAAUAUAUGUUUACAUAAAAUCUGUUGAAAAAGAAAAUGAAAGUAUCAAACAUCCUAUGAAAUCAUUGACUUGACUAUUUUAGUCGCUAAAAUUUAUAGUUGAAUUAAUUGCCAGAAUAAUUGUUAUAUUUGUGGAGUUUAGAGUAGAUGAUUUUGAAAAUGAUAAUAACAAUCAUGUUUUAAGAAAAUAAAAAUAUAGAAAUGAAAAUUGUUUUUGAAAAUGAAAAUAGGAAAUAGAAAUAUGAAACAUUUAUUGAAACCAAACACACUCUAAGGAUGUGAUUGCUUUAGUCAUUUUCUGUUUUUCUUUUUCAAUGAAAACAAAAAAUGACUGUGAAAACAUGUUUGUCUUUCUGUUUUCAUUUCAUAUUUCAGAAAACAGAAACUUCAUUUUCGGAAACAUUGAAAAUAAAAAAAAAUCAUUUCCAACAUUUUCAAGAAUGAUGCAAUGAUAUUUCCUUGAAUUUUUAAACAUGUCUUUUUGAUUCAUUUGUUUCAUAUAUUUUAAUGUUUUAACUUUUUUAUGUUAUUCCAAACAUUUUAAUGUUUUAGAAACACAAUACACAUUUAUAUUUUAGUUUUCAACUAUACUCUUAUGUAUUAGUCUUCUUUACACUACAAAUUUCUUCGUUAUUUCUUAAUACAAUUUCCAAGGUGCAUUAUAUAUAAUUAUUUUAGACAAAUUAUAUCGGUUUUUUAUAUCACUUAAUAAUUGUUUAAAGUAUGUACACAAUUUUAAACAUCAAAUGAUAUUAAUUUCUUCACUAAUCAACAAAAUACCAAAAUCAAUUGUUGAGUAUCUCCAAACUACAAUACAUCUUUAUAACAUAAUUUAUUUCUUUACUCUCAACAUGAUAACUUUUUCCGUCUUUCUUAUAAUAUUGUUGAAAUAGUUCGAUGAUGAGUAUGAUAAUAUAUGAUUUUGAUAUAAAAAUUGUUGUUCAUUGAAGUUAUUGCAACCUUACUUAAAUAAUAGAACACUUGUAUGCUACUAAUUUAUUUUAACUUUUUUGUAGAGCACUUGCAACUGUAUGAUGUUCUUUAUGACUUUCCACAGGUCUUUGUGGUAGCUAAUGACUAAGUCCAGUAAUUAAAAGUGAUCAAUAUAUUGUUGACAUAAAAUCCAUUAAAAAAAUACAAAUAUCAAAUAUGAAGGCAUCCUAUGAUAUUAUUAGUUUGACCACUUUAGUGAUAGAAAUUUAGAAGUUUAAUUAAUUACAAAGGCAAGUAUCCUGGUUUAUGAAGUUUACGGUGAAUGAUUUUGAAAAUGAAAAUGAUAAUAACAAACAUAUUUUUAGGAAAUGAAAAUAUAAAAACAAAAAUAUUUUGAAAAAUAAAAAUAGGAAAUAGAAACAGAAAACAUAUCUUAAAACCAAACACACCCUAAGAUACCAACAAAGUGUUAGUAUAAUAGUGUAACCUUGCUAGAUUUCUUGGAUGACCAACAUGUUAACGGUUCGAUUCCUAGUGCGAUACUUGUUAAGAUGAGUAACCAUGUACUCCAAAAAUAAUUAAUUUCUCACUCAAAUUGUGAGAGAAUACUAUUGGUAGUACAAAAAACACACUCUAAGACGUUAUGCAUGUUUGUAUUUUUUUUUCAACUUCUCAAAGUGGACUUAAAAAAAAGAAAAAUGUUGAGAAGAUUGUAUGGGCUACUCAGUCUUCAUAAUUGGCCCAAAAAAUAAGUGGAUUUUGGUGAAAAGGGAAUAAAUUAGUGAAAAUGUGUAAUUAUGUUUAUCUUUGAUUAUAUGUUAUGAUCUAUCUAUAAUUGGAUACAAAACUGAAAAAUGACUUUAAAGUAAUUUGGUUCGUUCAGAUACUGUAGAAAGUUUAUAUAGGAAGUAAAUUAAAUUAAAUAUAUAGAGUUUUUUGUUUAUGUUAUUAAUAUCUCUUUACACUUUUUUAGAUUUAUUUGUUUCAAUCCUUAUCAUUUAUUGUAUUUUUAUUAUAAGCAAUAAUGGAACAAAUUUUAUAAUUUUUUACUUAUCAUGACACAUGCGAAAUAAAAAUAUUUAUGGAACUCACAUAUUCCCAUGAAAAAUGUUGAAUUUUCCAACUAUAUCAGUGUUAGCAUGGAUGUGGCAUAUCCCACUCACAUGAACACAUUAGUUUACAAAGUGCAUUUAAAAUAAAAUUUUAAUAAUUAAAUAUAUUUUAUGAAAUGAUACACUUUUGUAGGACAUAACAUAUUCACCCUUCUACACACUAACCAUUUUACAAAAUUAUAAUAUGAUAUUAAAUAUAACUUAGUACAAAUCGGAAACGUGAUAGGAUCAUGAAUUAGAAGACGUGUGUAAUGGAAAAAAUGAAGUUGUGAAAGGGUAAAACGGGAAAAAUAAAAUAUUAUUAAAAGAUAAUCCUCCUAAAAGCUUAUUCUGUUAAAAAUUAAGUUUCUACUAUAAUUUAACAUAGUUACCUAAACAAACUUAAGUUAUACAGGAAGUUUAUUUUAAAAAAAUAAGUUUUAAUUAUAUGUCUAAACUAUACCAAAUAUUUUUAAUUAAUAUAGUUAUAAGUUAUAAGUUUUAAUCAAUAUAGUUUUUAUUAUAUUUCCAUGUGACCAAUUUUUUGGCUUUAGAUAAUAUUUAUAUAAUACCAUUUAUAACUCCACGUCUUUGUCUCGAUCAUACACAUUCCUUGGAUGGAAAAACAUCAUUUCAAUGAAUUCUCCAAAAAAAAAAAAAGUUAGUUUUCAAAUACUACCUAACUUUCUAUAAGUAAAGUUGCCAUUAUCAAGCAAAUAGAUGAAGUUUAGUAAUGUUCCCAAAAAAGUGAAUUUGAAGCCAUCCCACCCAAUUUACCCCUUCAGUCACGGCAAGCCAAACCCCCUUACAAAAAGACACAUAACCCUUGUGUUCUACCCUUAUAACCCCUUCUCUCUCUUCACCAACAAUAAGAACCCCUCACCACUCACACAUCACAACUCACCCACCUGAACCCAUUUCUGAUAAUCUAUACAUUCAUAAAUAUAAAAGUUUUUUAUAUAAACAAUGUAUUAUCCAUCAUUCAUUUUUAAUAAUAUUAACUCUAAAUGAAAGUAAUUCAUAUAAAUAGUGAAUAAUAAAUUGAUUAUGUAUAAAUUUUACAUUGUUAAUGCAUAAAUAUUAUAUUCAUAAAAAAAAAAAUACAUGUAGGCAACUUUAAUCCUUUAAACACUUAAAUUUUCAUCACCAAUGUAACAAGCUAAUGGGUGAGACUUCCAUCUAAUACAACACAAGAAAUAGAUGUACCUUUAUAAAACAAAUAUAUGUACGCAACCUUAAUCCUUUAAACCCGUAAAUUCUCAUCAUCAUACGAUUUAACAAGUGAGUGCACGAGACUUUCAUCUAAUACAAUGCAAGAAAGUAGAUAUAUACAACUUUAAUCAUUUGAGUGAAGAUGACUCUUAUAUAUGAAUAAUACCAUCCAAAUUUCUAUAAUCUAAAGUUUCUAAACCUAACCCUCCCAUAUUUUUGUUCUUGUUAUAAGAGUGAGUUGGUUAUCUUCCCUAUUUCUUUAUUUCCAAAAACAAACACACAAAAAAUGAAGAGAUUGAAAAACUAUUAUAUGCACCUAAGACACCACCAUCACCACCACCACAACUCAGAGAGAAAAUGGGUUUACCCACUUGCAAUCGGUUCAAUGCUAUCAAUUUUCCUUCUCUUCUUAGCAACACUAACCUCACCCGCGGGUUCUCCAUUCUACCGCUCCGUCACCACAACCUACUCCGUUUUCGUCGAAUCCAAACUCCACCCUUUACCCAUCUCCACCCUCCCUCCUCCGCCGCGCAUCGCCUACCUCAUCUCCGGCUCCGUCGGCGACGGCAACGCCACCAAACGAACCGUGUUAUCACUUUACCAUCCUCAAAAUUACUAUAUUCUACACCUUGACCUUGAGGCCUCGCCUCAGGAGAGGUUAGAUCUGAGAGAUUUCGUGAGAGGGAGUGAAUUGUUUCAGAGGUUUCGGAAUGUUAAGGUUAUCAGUAAGGCCAAUUUGGUUACUUAUAGAGGGCCUACUAUGGUGGCGAAUACGCUUCACGCCGCCGCGAUUUUGUUGAGGGAAUGUGGGGAUUGGGAUUGGUUUAUUAAUCUCAGUGCAUCUGAUUAUCCACUUGUUACACAAGAUGGUUGGUUUCUAAUUUCGGAAAGGGAUAACAUCUAUUGUCCCAUGAAUUGUGCUAUAUGUUCUGAUUGGUCAGUCUCUUGUACUUACCAAUCAGAAUAUAAGAAACUUUCUUAUAUUCUGAUUGGUCAGUAUUUUGUACUUACCAAUCAGAAUAUAUGACACAGUUGUGAUAUAUAUAUAUAUUUGUGGGAUAAUUGAUGUUGUUUCUAUUUUUUGUUCGGAAGAAUAUAUGUUGUCCCUUGAGUUUAAGUCAUAGCUAUGUGACUUGGAUUCUGAUUGGUCAAGUAACAUGAGUUUCGGGCUUGUUUCAUAUUGAUUAAUCAGAAUCUAUGGCAUAGAGUUGGGGCAUACUUUGUUAUCUUUGUUUUGUGUGAUUGUGUUAUGAGGUGUGGUUUUCUGGAACUGAUUUGGUGUUUUGAUGAACUAGAUCUGCUGCACAUGUUUUCUUAUUUGCCGAGGGAUCUUAAUUUCAUUGAUCAUACUAGUGACAUUGGAUGGAAAGAGUAAGUUUGUUCUUGUUUUAUUUGUGUAAUUUUUAUUUUAUUUUUCGAAGUGAGGUUAUUUAUAUUUUAUGUGUUUUGAAUAGUCAUCAGCGGGCAAGACCAAUAAUAGUCGAUCCGGGGUUGUACAUGAGUAAGAAGCAAGAUGUGUUUUGGAUUACACAGAGGAGGAGUAGGCCGACAGCGUUCAAGCUUUUCACAGGUUUGCAUCUAUUUCCUUCUCUUUAUUGUGUUAGUGUUUCUUUUUUUACUUGAUCCAGGUUUGUCACAUAGUUUAGAUACCAUAUGCCAAUGUGAGUGUGAGUGGAUAGAGAUACUCAUAGUUCGAGACUUUUGAAGGAUUUUUUUUCUUUGAAUAUAUUGUGAUGCAAUUGAAGUAGUGAAGCUUAAAAGACCCUUUCUGUAUUUACUUCAUCAUAUCAUCUGUUCAGUUUUGGGUUUUAUAUGCAUGGCAGAAGGUAUCAUUGAUUUCCACCAGUUUUUGAAUCUGCUAUAGAUAGAGCAAGGCCUCAUUUUUUGUAGUACUUUCCGAUUAGCUGUAAUUUCCUUUGUUUUGUUUACUUAUGCCACAAAUCUGAUUUAUUUUCUCUAGAACUUGUGCUCUGGCUGAUUUUUGUUUGAAACAAUUAUUCUUGUAUAUGGUAAUGAAAAUUUAUGAAUUUUGAACUAAUGGAAAACCAAUUAUUAAUUAAUUAGUAGGAAAACUGUUGGCUAGACUAGUUGAAAAAGUUGAGCAUUAUCUAUCCGUGUUCAGGACAUGCGAGUGAACACUUUUUUGUAACUUCUUUUUUUUCAUUUGUCCCGUGGAUUAAACAUUCUGACAUCUGAUAAGUUAGACGGAUGUUACACAUCAGAUGAAACUAACUUUUAACUUUUUGCAAUAAAACAUGUUCUUAAUAAAACUUUCCACAGUGAAGUUUUGUUAUUCUACAAUCUACAAUCAUUUUAUAUUCUUGUAUCUUGUUGAUCCUAGGAGACAUUGUGUUUCAUCAUUUGGACUAGAUUAAUGAAUUCUGGUAUGACAGUAGUAUAUCAUGGAUACAUUAUUCUGUUUAUAAAUGCCAUUUUUUAGUUACAUGUGCACCACAUGAUUUGAGUGAGAGUUAAUUUCAGUUGUAGUGAUUGUUAACUAUUCUGGGAUCUGGGCAAGUAUUGAUGUAGCAUUUGAUAUCCCAAAAUGUUCCUAAUAUUGUUCCUGACGUAGGGAAUAGGAUGACUUAAUAUAAUUCAACUAGAAUGUGUUUACUUUACUGGCUUCUAAAUUUUAAUCUUAAUGAAAAAGGAAAAACAUCAUUUUGAAAACAUACAUUAAGUUGUCAGUUAAUGCCAUUUUGACAUUUUUCUGACAAUGAAUGGGUACAGCCCAGGAAUAUAUCGAACAGGGCUAUGCCUUCAUGCUCAUGUUCUAUAUACCACCUAUCCAGUUCCAGUCAUAUCAGUUAAUAUGGUACAGGUCAUAACAUAUCUCCCAGAAUAGGUGGAACUAAGCUAGAGAUAUGUAUCCUGGAGGGUUAAUGCUUUUUUGCUUCGCUUCUAUUACUGAACUCAUUUUGACAUCGUUCUGUUCCAUUGUAAUGAUUAACGAAUAUAAUUGUGGUAGGAGAACAUUCCUCUUUGUUCACAUGGGAUCAAAUCCCAUUGUGACUGCCAAAUAAAACCGAUCUGUUUUGGUUGUAUGUUGCACGUUUGUUUGAAACUAAACACUGUGAGUAGUAAAUAUACAAUCCUUAUAAGCGAGAAUAUUAUCAUAAAUGAUUAUGUAAAACUUCUUUCUUGUUAGGUUCGGCUUGGAUGGUACUCUCAAGAUCUUUCAUUGAUUACACGAUAUGGGGAUGGGAUAACCUACCUCGAACUGUUCUCAUGUACUAUUCAAAUUUCAUAUCUUCUCCUGAAGGAUACUUCCACACAGUUAUUUGUAAUGCUCAGGAGUUCAGGAAUACAACUGUGAAUAGUGAUUUACAUUUUAUUUCUUGGGACAAUCCUCCCAAGCAACAUCCUCAUUACCUUACCGUUGACGACAUGCAAAGGAUGGUUGACAGCAAUGCCCCCUUUGCAAGGAAGUUCCACAGAGAAGAUCCAGUAUUGGACAGAAUUGAUGCUGAACUAUUAUCUAGAGGUCCUGGAAUGGCUGUUCCUGGAGGCUGGUGCAUAGGAAGCCGGGAGAAUGGAACCGAUCCCUGCUCUGAGAUCGGUGAUACUGCAGUCCUUAGGCCCGGCCCAGGUUCAAAAAGACUAGAAAUAUUGAUCAGCUCAUUGUUGUCAAAUGAAAGUUUCCGGCCAAGACAGUGCAUAUGAGAAGAACCAACACUGAGACCAAUGUCUUCCUACUUCCAAAGAUAAUUUUCGCUGCGACAGUUUUAGUUUAUAUCUGCACAUUUAGUUAGUGUGAUGACUGUGAUCCGUAAAUUAAUGUUUCUUUCCAUUUGGAAAAGAAAAUAGUGAAAGCAUACACAUCAUCUUUCAUAUUGAGAAGACAGUGAGACAAAUCUGGUGAAAUUAAAUUCUGAGGUUGAUCUCACACUGUAAUACUAUGGUAUAUAUGAUAUGACAGCUGACUCUAUUGCCCCUUGUUACCACUUUCCUCCUUUUCAUUUUACUUCAACCCAGCCACCUCAGUAACCAGCAUUGAAGGUGUUCUCUAGGAUAAUCAUAUGAUUCCAGUUGCCGCAAUCCGAUUUUCGGUUGAACAUUGGCUCCGGGUCUACUGUUUUUUUGUUACCUGUAAACAAGAAAGGUGGAAAGAGGGUGGUGAGGGAGGGGAUUGUAAGAGUGGGGGAACUAAAGAACAAGAAGAAGCUGUGUGAACUUGAAUGAAAUACUUUUUAUGUAUUUUUAAUUUAGCAUAUGCUUUCCAAUUUCAUGGUGUUAUAUGGCAUACUUUUCUUAUCCUUGACUCAUAGAAUUUCUUGUGCUUGGGUGUCAAAUGUCAUUCAAAUCAUGUCCAAAUGGUUACUUUAUUUUUUAUGGUUAAACUAUACUAUUGGAUAUCAACAAGUGUGUUGGUCUAGUGGUAGAGGCACACUACGACAACAUGAUCCAGUAUUCGAUUCCUAGAGAAUACUUCUUGAUUUAGCAUAUGAUUUCCAAAUUCAUGGUUCUAUGUGGCCUAAUUUUCUUGUUCCUCGAGUCCUAAGAUUUCUUGUACUUUGGAUGCCAAAUUCCAUUGAAAUCAUUUCUAAAUGAAUUACAGUGAAGGUACAUAAGUUGUAUAUACUGUCAAUGUAUCAUUUAAUAUUUAUAUUUAAUCAUUGCUGACUCUUUAAAAAAGUAAUUCGAGUGAAUGAUGAAUGCUAUAAUGACUGUGUGUAAAUAUUUACAUUGUCAGCAUAAAUAUUACACUUAAGGACCGCAAUGAAUAGUGAACAAAGUUAUAGUUUAAGCAUUUCCUAUAUUUCUCCUUUUCCUUCUAUUCAUACACACUUUCCACAAGUGUCUAACACGUUGAGUUGAUAAUCUUCAAUUUUUAUAUUAACUUACUAAUAAUCCACAAGUCAGUUUUUCUAGAAGUUGGAAUUUCAGUAUUGACUAGUUCAAUGUAUACAACUUCAUUGAAGAUCACUAUUCCAUUUUGUUACGUUGCCUUCAAUACUCUUCAUUCUUGUAAUGGUAUGUGUAGCCUAAUUGUGCUCUCCAUUAUGGAAAGGUUUUGACUUGUUCUUUGGGGUACGUCAAAACUCACAAAAUAUGUCUUAUACUAACCACUUGGUCUAAGUUAAUAAGAAAAUUCUCAAGUUCAAUAUCUUGAACAAGGUGCAUAUUUCUUCAAUUUAUUUGCCAAUCAAACCACAUGAGGCAAAGUGGGGCUUAAUAGUUAAUAGAUCUCCAUCAUUUUUCCUUGCAUUGAAGGGCAACCCUAAAAAAUGUAUUAAUACUAUUUCUUUUUAUGAAAAUUGAGACAAUGCAACUAAUAGAGAUCGGAACAAACUUGAUUCCACUAUGAUAAUAAUGUAUUUUCUAUAAUUUAUUGUGUGAAUUUUAAUACCCUACACAAUAAAAAAAUUUAUAGGUACCUGUGCAAAUUCAACCCAAAUUUAACGGGAAAAAUCCAAUAUAAUUGAGUUUAGGUUCGAGUUUUACCCGAGUUCAACUUUCGGGGUUUAAAAUAGUUGAUACCAUACCCCAAACUUGAUUAAUAUAUAUAAAAUUACAAAAUUUUACAUAUAUAUAUAUAUAUUUGCCAAACAAAUUUGGGUUCGGAUUUUGAAUUUCGAGUUCAAAGUUGGGUCAGUAUAAAUCCGACCCCAAUCAUUUCCUUGCCAUUCAUACUACAUAAAUACAUUUUUAUUAUAAUUUUUAAGACAAUAUGUUGUUGAAGUUGGUUCUGUUUUCUAAAGACUUUUUUAUAUGCUAUUCAAAUAUCACAUCAUUGCUACCAUAGAUCAACCAAUAUUAAUAUUAGGAAAAAAAUGUUAUUUUAAUCAUGGGAUUUGAAGUUUGAUAGAGACAGUGGACUUGUAUAUAAAUUGAGUGGGAUAGUGUUGUGAAUGUAAAUAUGUAACGUGAGGAGGUUGAUGUCUGGAUUUAUAUAUAAUGGAGAUGUUCAACUAACAGAAUUAUUGAUAUUUUUAUGUUUUCUAACUUUUCAACUUUUUUUUGUCUUGGUUUUCUUUUUUGUAUUCAUUUCUGAAGUUUCAUGUUGCACAGGGUAAAGAGGGAAUAAGCACAAUGGAACAAAAGCUUUGAUUGAGACACAUGCCAGAGUAAGGACGAAAUAGAGGUAUAGCAAAAACAAAAACGCCCUAUAUAAAAGAAAUAUCAUAUAAAAAAAUAAUUGAAUAAAAAUAAAAGUGUUAUUUAUUUGGCACAAAAAAAACGGAAAAUAAGUUUUACAAUAAUAGUUAUCUUGCAUUCUUUCUAUGAAAAACUUGUGUAAUGUACUUUAUCUAGGAUCUAAGACUCAACGGCAGAGUGUGUACCAUAUGCUAAAAUUAAAAUAGUAAAUAGUAAAUAUCAUUAUAUAUAAAACGAUGGAAAGAUUAAUAUCAAAAUCACAAAAUUUAAAUAUAUUUAAUCAACUAAAUUAUAUAUUUUACCAACAAGGCAUUGGUCUAGUGAUGUAAGGUUUUACUCGAUCCCAAGGUUGAAGGUUCGAUUCUUGGGAGCGACAUUUGUUGGAAGGAGUAGCCACAAACCUCAAAAUGGAUUAGUUCCUUACCAAAAAAGGUGAGGAGAUACCUUUGGUAAUACUAAAAAACUAAGUUAUAUAUUUUAUAAUUUGUCUCUAACUUCAUAUUUUGAAAUCAAUGAAUUAUCACCUCGUUGCCAAUGUUAUUGAACAUUUCUCGGUCAAUAUAAGUGGUUAGACAAUCUUUCAUCCAUAAAUAUCACAUUCGAUUACACAACCUAUUUUUCACAUUUUUUCGUAGUUGAAAAUACUUUUUCUAUAGUUGUUGUGGUAAUAGAUAAAAUCAUUGUUAACUUAAAAAAAUAAGCUAAUGAGUGAAUAAUAUGUCUUUCACUUUCAAACAACUAUCUAAAAGAUUAUUGAUUCUUUUUAAAGAAACAAAAUCAAUACUAAUACACAUUUUAAUUAUGCAAGUUGCAAGUUGAUUAUCAAGUAUCACUAAAUUAAUUGAACAAAAAUCAAAGGGAUAAAUUGAUUGGAAAGUUGAGGAAUGUGUAAACCACACGAUGGAAGUGUGUAGAUGAAAUGACAUAUAUAUAUNNNNNNNNNNNNNNNNNNNNNNNNNNNNNNNNNNNNNNNNNNNNNNNNNNNNNNNNNNNNNNNNNNNNNNNNNNNNNNNNNNNNNNNNNNNNNNNNNNNNAAUAAGUGUGAUAGAAAUGUGUAAUUAAAGUUUAAGGGAAAAUGAGAGUGGAAGUUGGAUGGUAGAUUCACACUUAUGUGAUGGAUGAAAUUGAUAAAAAUUUCGAUAAGGGAGAUUAGUCUAAUUUCUAGAGGAGUGAGAAGUCAAUAAAACCAUAGAUGCAAUUAUCAUUAACGAUUUUAAGAUCAAGAUUUCAUCGAUCAACAUUAUAUAUAAUAAUAUAAUGAAUCAUUACAACGUUGUUCCAUUUAUCUAACCUACCCCACCUAAGACAAUUAAAACUUGAUUAUUGUUGGAUGUAUAACGAUCACAUGGAACCCUGGUUAGAAAUUCCUCAUGCUGAAUUUUCUAAAUAUAUCCUCCAAAUUUGAAAACCUAAGUAUAUGUGUUUGAAAAAACUAACAACUUUUGUACAUGUGUCAGCAAUGGCAAUGACAUCAUGAUCAUGAUGGUGGUGUGAUAUGAGGCAAUGGUAGUUGAAACAAUCUAUCUAUGACGAUUUUUGGGUAUUGAAGAAGGGUAAGGGAUAAUGAGUUGGGUUUUAAGGGACCAUAAAAAAGUCAACUAGGCUUAAGUGAAUUGGUUGGAUCGAACAACAAAAACUAAAUGGUCUUGGACUCCAUUCACUGGAAUUCUAUUGUCAAACCUUGGGCCAACUUUCUUCUUUCUAAAUUGUAUCCACUAAAAACUAACGGAUUCUCGACUAAAGAGAAGUAAUAUAUGAUUAAGUAACUCUACUGGUACUAUACUUUUUAUGUUUUUUAUUUUUAUUUUAAAUAAAAGGAUCCUUACAAUUUAGAUUGUUGGACCAGACUGCGACCGGAAAGUCUCCAACUAUCGGGGAGUUCCAUUAUGACAUGGGUAUGGGAAGAGUGAAGAGUCACAAGUGAGACACCACGUCUUGAACCAAAACCUUAAGGCAUUAGUUCCAUGGGCCUUUCUUUCUUAUAAACUCUUUCGCUCCUCCCCGCAUAUCCAAUGUGGGACUUCACACUUGAAUAAACUCAACAAUUUUCCCCUCAAGUGUGGGUACCACACACUUUUCGGUCCGCUCCCCUUUGAGUCCACCAUGGCUCAGCCGAACCAUCGGCUCUGAUACCACUUGUUGGACCAGACUACUAUCGGGGAGCCUCCAACCACCGGGGAGUUCCAUUGUUACAUGGGUAUGGGAAGAGUGAAGAGUCACAAGUGAGAUACCACAUCUUGAACCAAAACCUUAAGGCAUUAGUUUCAUGGGCCUUUCCUUCUUAUAAACUCUUUCACUCCUCCCCGCAUAUCCAAUGUGAGACUUCACACUUGAAUAAACCCAACAACGAUAAGGGAGUUAUAAUUAGAGGUGAGGCACCCUCUAGAUUAAGAAAGAAUAUUAGAUAGGGGUGACGAAUCCUCUAUCUAGGAUAUAGUAAUCGUUUUGGGAUACAUAGAAUUAGGAGAUUGUGGGGAAUUAACCAGGGCGAAGCUGGUGAAGAAAGACAUGAAUGUCUUUAUUGAUCUAUUUGUAUCCAAACAAUAUCUCAAUAGUGAAAAUCCACAUCAAUCGAGACACUAGACAUAACGUCAUUCUUGACAUCAACAAAUAUAAAAUCAUUGGCGUCAAAUCUUCUUACUCUCUAUACUUUUUAAUUUCAACAUUGAUAUUUGAUAAUCAAUUGUUUUGCACAUAAUUGGAUAGAUUUUUAAUUUCAAUUUUUUUUGUCAUUAUUAAAUUAUUAAGCCAUUCUUGAUCUUAAUAUCUCCAUGUGUCUUCCGCUACAACAAACUGGUAUCAGAGCUCGUAGAGCUCUUGCAUGCUAAGCCAUACAAUCUAAAAGAAAAUUCUUAGUAUGCUUUGUGUUUGCAGCACUGUCUGAUCUUACACACCAGAAAAGAAUUGUUCUUGUUACUAGAAAGGUAUAAUAGCGUGAAAGUGCAUGUCUAGGAAAGUUCUGUCUUAGAAAAGACCUGGUAUUUAAGCGUGUCUGUUAAGACCCACCUAUCUUUCCUGGGAGCUUUCCUGGUGUACGCUCACGGACUACGAUAUUGUUCCGGUAUACGGUUAUCAUGGCGAGUGCUAAAUUUGAUUUGGAGAAAUUUAAUGGAGAAAAUGAUUUCAACCUAUGGCAAUUGAAGAUGAAAGCUCUACUAGUUCAUCAAGGCUUGGGAAAUGCCUUAGAAGGUAGAAACAGUUACCACAGAGUCUGACCGAGGAUGAGAAGGAUGAAAACCUGGAAAAAGCACAUAGUGCAAUUUUGUUGUGCUUGGGAGAUGAAGUUCUACGAGAAGUGUCAGAUGAAACUANNNNNNNNNNNNNNNNNNNNNNNNNNNNNNNNNNNNNNNNNNNNNNNNNNNNNNNNNNNNNNNNNNNNNNNNNNNNNNNNNNNNNNNNNNNNNNNNNNNNCAAAAUUAUUCUUGAUCUAAAGAAUAUUGAUGUUAAAAUUGAAGAUGAAGACCAAGCAAUUCUUCUACUAUGUUCCCUUCCAAAUUCUUAUGAGCACUUCAUCGACACUAUAAUGUAUGGACGAGAAGAUCUGACCUUAGACGAAGUAAAGGCGGCGUUGCACUCGAAAGAACUGAAGAAAAGAGUAUCAGAUUCGAGAUCUGAAAGCUUAGGUGAUAGUCUUUUUGCCAGAGGAAGAACAGAGAGGUGAAAUCAAUUUGGUGAAAGAGGGAAAUCUAGGUCCAAGUCUAAAGCGAAACCUAGAAAGUAUAAAUGCUUUCAUUGUCACAAAGAAGGGCAUAUAAGAAAGAAUUGUCUAGAGCGUAAAGGCAAGGAAAAGAUUUAUGAAUAUGGAGAUGCAGCUGUAGCAAAUGACUAUGAUAGUGCAGAUGCACUAAUAGUCUCAGAGCACGAUUCAAAAGAUGAAUGGGUACUUGAUUCUGGAUGCUCAUAUCACAUGUGUCCCAUUAAGGAUUGGUUUUCAACUUACCAACCCUUAGAUGGGGGCAAGGUCCUUUUGGGAAAUAAUGCUCCCUGCAAGGUCAUUGGCAUCAACACAAUUAGAAUCAAGAUGUUCGAUGGAAUCGUAAGGACGUUGACAGAUGUAAGGCAUGUUCCAGAAUUGAAGAAAAAUCUGAUUUCCUUGGGAACACUAGAUUCAAAAGGUUAUAGCUACAAAGGUGAAGGUGGAGCUAUAAGAAUAUCUAAAGGCGCUAUGGUUGGAAUGAAAGGAAAGAAAGAGAGUAGUCUCUAAUAAAUGCUUUCAUUGUCACAAGGAAUGGCAUAUAAGAAAGAAUUUUCCAGAGCACAAAGGCAAGGAAAAGAGGAAGGUCAUAUAAGAAAGAAUUGUCCAGAGCGCAAAGGCAAGGAAAAGAUUUAUGAAUAUGGAGAUGCAGCUGUAGCAAAUGACUAUGAUAGUGCAGAUGCACUAAUAGUCUCAGAGCACGAUUCAAAAGAUGAAUGGGUACUUGAUUCUGGAUGCUCAUAUCACAUGUGUCCCAUUAAGGAUUGGUUUUCAACUUACCAACCCUUAGAUGGGGGCAAGGUCCUUUUGGGAAAUAAUGCUCCCUGCAAGGUCAUUGGCAUCGGCUCAAUUAGAAUCAAGAUGUUCGAUGGAAUCGUAAGGACGUUGACAGAUGUAAGGCAUGUUCCAGAAUUGAAGAAAAAUCUGAUUUCCUUGGGAACACUAGAUUCAAAAGGUUAUAGCUACAAAGGUGAAGGUGGAGCUAUAAGAAUAUCUAAAGGCGCUAUGGUUGUAAUGAAAGGAAAGAAAGAGAAUAGCCUAUAUAUGUUACAAGGAAACACAAUCACGGGUGUUGCUGCUGUAUCCUCAACAUCUGAUUUUGAUGUCACCAAAUUAUGGCAUCUAAGAAUGGGUCAUGUCAGUGAAAGAGGUCUAGUCGAGUUGGCCAAGCAAGGAUUACUAUGUGGUCAACAAGUCGGGAAGGUAGACUUCUGUGAACAUUGCAUUUUUGGAAAGCAAUGUCGAAUAAAAUUCAACAAUGCAGUUCAUCGAACAAAAGGCACGUUGGAUUAUAUACAUUCUGACUUGUGGGGUCCUUCCCAAGUACCUUCUCAUGGUGGUAGCAGAUAUAUGCUAACUUUCAUUGAUGAUUAUUCAAGGAAGGUUUGGAUCUUCAUUUUGAAACAUAAAAGUGAAGCAUUUGUCAAGUUCAAACAGUGGAAAACCUUGAUCGAGAAUAAGGAUUAGUAAUCCUUAUUCUCUAAUAAUAUCUUGGUAGCCGUUCAGCGCUCCCGGGGACGUAGUCAUAAUGGGUCGAACCCCGUUAACAAAUGUUCUUGUUUUUUCUCUUCUAUUUAUUCUAUGCCUUUAUUUGAUUGCUUGUGACCAACGCUGAGCAACGAUCACUUCCGCUAUUCCAACAAUUGGUAUCAGAGCCAAUUGGUAGAUGACUUUUAACCCAAACAUCAAAUAGUAGCUAAAGACGAUGAAUGCGUGAUGGCUAGACAAGGUGUGUCAAAGUUAGUGGCAAAAUAGAAUAGAUGAGUUGAAGGAGAAAGAAACAUGGCGGAACUGUGGUGUGGGCGAUGUAUGUGUUGAUCCAGAACCCCAUAAGUUCAUGUAUUGGGUUAUGAUCAAGAUGGAGAUAAGGACUCAUGUGUUGAGUUUGACCUAGAGACAGAUGCUGAUAAUAUCUCUCUAGAUGUUGAGAGAACGUUCUCAUUUGAGAUGAGAAAUGGAAUAUCCUAAUGGCGUGUCUGAGACGUCAUAGUGAAAGAUGUUAAUUGUUAGCAGAUCUACAAAAGCACAGAGGCGCUGACUGGCUUUGAUGCAAGUUGUAACACGAGCAUUGGUAGAGAUGCAGGGAUGUGACAUGGGCAUUGGCUUGGAUGCAAGGAUGUGACACAAACAUUAGUUAGAAUUGACGCAAAGUGUGUGUUGUGGGUAUACUCCUUAUGGUGGAGUAUGAUAGUUCUUUUGAACCGUGAUUGUCAGAAUAGACAAUGGUGGUAGCGGUUGAGGCUUUCCAAGGAAGCUCCAAGGUUUAGUUUGACUGAGUAUUGGAGAGGACGAUUGUUGGUAAAAUUUUGUGUAGAGGUUCCAAUAUAUCGAAAGACUUCCUAGCAAUAGAUGGCUAGGUGGCGUGUUCCAUUUGAUGGCGGUACGGGAAGCUACACUACAAGUUUGGAGAGCUAGGCUCUUGGUAACAUCGUCAAGGAUACUCAGAAGGUCUAUGUUGUAGAGGAGUAGUUAAAGAGAAUUAGACAUUGAACAAGGUGAAGUCAUAUAUUCGCUAAGGUGGAGAUUCUUGUGUAGAUUUCCUAAGGAGCAAGAUAUUUGUCUAUUUCAAUCAAGGUGGAGAUUGUUGGGGAUGCUUGAAAUAUGUUAUUGCGUUAGUCCCACAUUGUCUAGUAUUAGAAUAGAGUAGGUAACCAAUGUUAUAUAUUGGACUCAAGUCCCUUGUUAUAAUGUGCACCAUAUAUAAGCACGAAAUAUAAACACCCCAUGGGCAGGUGGGCCUAUGGGUGUGCUAGGGUUUGUAACCUUUAUUCUCUAAUAAUAUUUUGGUAGCUGCUCAACGCUCCCAAAAACGUAGACAUAAUUGGUCGAAGAUGUACCCAAAGCAACUAGAUUAGUAUCAAAUGCUAAAUCAUACAAUUAUAUUGGUAUCAAGACUUAUGUUGAUCUAAAAAGAGGAUCAAAAGCACGUUUGUUAUUCAUAACUAUUGGUACAACAGAAGUAAUUUUUACGCAGUAUUGACCACAAACAAUCAAAUAAAGAGUAUAGAAUAAAUAAAAGAUAAGAAAAUAAGAUAAUUUGAUAACGAGGUUCGACCAAUUAUGCUUACUUCCCCGGGAGCGUUGAGUGGUUACCACGAUAUUAUUAGAGAAUAAGGAUUACAAACUCUACCAUAUCCAUGAGUCAAGUGCCCAUGAAUAUUUCUAUUUGUUGCUUCUAUUUGGUGCACAUAAUUAAUAACAAGGGACCCAAGUCCAAUAUAUAACAAUUCUAAUGUUAGACAUGUGUGACUUCAUAUAAUAACAUGUUUCAAAAAUCCACCACAAUCUCCCCCUUGAUUUAAAUAGACGAAUAUUUUACUUCUUAGGAAAUCUACACAAUAAUCUCUACCUUAACGAAUAUCCUGCUCCAUCUUGCUCAAUGCCUAAUUCUCUUUAACUCCUCCAUAUGAGAGUCUGCUAUCCUACAAUAUAAACCUUCUGAGUAUCCUUGACGAUAUCUAGCUCUCCGAACUUGUAGUGCAGCUUCUCAUACCACCAUCUAAUGGAACAUGCCACUUAGCCAUUUACACAAACAUUUUUUAAUAUAUAGAACCUCUACAGAAAAGUUCACCAACAACCAUCAUCUUUAAUACUCAGUCAAAUUGAAACUUAGAGCUUCCUUGGAGAGCCUCAAUCGCUACCAUCGUUGUAUGUUUCGACAAUCACGGUUCAAAAGAACUAUCACACUUCACCAUAAGGAGUAUACCUACAUCACACAUCUUGCAACAAUGCUAAUCAAUGUCCAUGCCAUAUCCUUGCAUCCAUGCAAAUGCUCAUGUCACACCCUGCAUCUCUACCAAUGUCCAUGUUACAUCCUGCAUCAAAGCCAAUGCCCAUGUUACACUUAUAUCAAAGUCAGUCAGCGCCUCUAUGCUUUUGUGGAUUUGCUAACAAUUAAUAUCUUUCACUAUGAUGUCGUAGACAUGCCAUUAGAAUAUUUCACUUCUUAUCUCAAAUGAUGAGUUCUCUCAAUAUCUAGAGAGAUAUUGUCAACAUCUAACUCAACACAUCUGUCUCUAUCUUCACCUUGGUCUCAAUCCAAUACAUGGACUUCUGUGGUUAUAGAUCCAACACAACUAUAAUAUAAAGAAUUUGGUAACGAGGUUCGGCCAAUUUUAUCUAUGUCUCUGAGAGCGUUGAGAAGCUAUCACUAUGUAUUAGAGAAUAAAGAUUUGUGUUUAUGAAUAUUAUUCUCCGUAUUACAUUAGGUUUACAUAACACAUUAAUAUAUAAUCCUUUACUCCAACCUCUUUACAUCAACUCAAUCCUAUAAUUUGGAUUUCUCUUACACAGAGAAAAUGCCUUGUCCAUUGGAAAGCCAUCGCAUAACAAUAACUCAAACAAUGGAUUUGACAUCUGAAAAAUAAACACCCCAUCGUUGAAUAACUCAAACUUAGAGCUUCUCAUACCGCAAAGUCAAAUAUUGUUAUCGUUGAAGCAUCAAUCUAGAAAUGAACUCACAAGGCUCAAUUGUCGAGUAAAGAUCACGGGAAGAACUAAGUUGAAUUGAUCAAAGAGUUUUGAAUUGCAUCUGUGGAUCAAAGUACACUUUCUAUGGACAAGGAUCAUAUGUUUCUAACCGUGUCUCAUUCUUUGUUCUAAAUAUAUCACAUUUUGUCAUAUGAAUUAAAGAAAAAUUUUAAAAACAAAAAAAUAAAAAGUCACAUUUUGAUUAGUUUGAGACAUGAAAUAAAACACCGUUCGGGACAAGUAAUCCCGGCUUUCCAUAUUCACUACUAAUUGCUUAGUGUCUACUGUCUAGUAAGACACACCACAUCUUCUGAGCCUAAUUGAUUCUGCAUGCUUAAUUAGUUUUGACAAAAAGGCUUGGAAGCAGAUAAGGAAGAGUUUGGAAAGAGUGAAGAAAAAGGAAUAAAGAGGUAUGAAAAUAUUAUAACAAGAACAUUUGAUAGUUGAUGAAGACAAGAGUGCUUAUAGUGAUGGUUGAAGAUAUGACGAUUGUAAUCUGAUAAGGUUUAGGUUUAGGUUUCGUUUAAGUUUUAUUUGAUUAUUUGAUAUGAUUUGAUUAUAUUGUUAAGCAAAGAUUUGAUUUGCACUUAGGCUCAUUAUUAUAUGAUUCUUUACAAAUCAUUUAAAUAGGACCACCUCUUGUACAUUCAUAACACACAUCAAUAAUUUAUUGGGGGUUUAAAUUCACUAAAAUGGGCAUAUCUUAAUUAGUCCCUACAAAAGAACUUAGACUCAUGAUCCUUUUUUUAUUUCAUACCUUAUAUUUUUCAUUUGUGCUUUUGGUUAUCUAUUAAGAAGGUUUCGUGCAUUUAAUCAGAUCAAUUCCAUACGAUCUUUUUAAUGCCUCAAUUCGUGUUUGUUCGGUUCUGUUAAAGUGAUGGAAUUGAAAAAACUACCAACCAUUAAGUACAACCCCAAAGAACCAGAGAUUCUGUAAACAACAUAGAGCAAAGAUGAAAGCGAGCAAAAAGGGAGAGAAACCCCAUCUCUUUCUUUUGUUUUUUAUGUCCCAAAUUCAAUAACCCAUUUUCUUUAUUUGCAAGGUAAAUCCAAUUUAUUGUUCCUUAAUGAGUCGCUACUCAGAUAAAUCUAUAUACAUAUAUUUAUGUAUACAAGAAGUAUAUCCAGUAAUAUGUACUAGACUCAUAUUAUAUUAUAUAUAUAUAUAUAUAUANNNNNNNNNNNNNNNNNNNNNNNNNNNNNNNNNNNNNNNNNNNNNNNNNNNNNNNNNNNNNNNNNNNNNNNNNNNNNNNNNNNNNNNNNNNNNNNNNNNNAUAUAUUUAUUUAUUUGAAAGAAGUUACCUUGCUUUCACUUAGCUCUUCUCCAAAUUCCCAUUAGACUUAUUCUUCUUGACAACAAAUUGUCUAUAUAAUAUUGGGAAAUAUGUAUUAAAAUGUACCAAACACAUAAGGAUUAUAGCUCAGUUAGGUAGAACACCUCAUUUAUACGCACUAAUGUUUUUUCCAGAGGAGCUCAUCAUGCAAUCAGAAGAGCUGAUCUUAUUGAGAAAUGGAUGUCUGACUCUAUUAGUUUAGAAAACACUAUGAGUCAGCGUCAAUAGAACUUGAUUAAUCUUUUUUGUCGUUAAGGUAGAGAACUAAACCAAGAACUCUCUUUCUUUAUCAUCAAUCAAAUUGAUGUUUGAGACCUACCAUUCUACUUUAUCAUCAAUCAAUCACCAUUCACAUUUUUUUUCUUAUGAAGGAGUAGAUCGCUUUACUUGUAUGACUUAGAUAUAUUGUAUUUCUCAAAAAAGUGACUCAAUUAAUAGGAUUUGAUAUGACACUUAUAAGAUUGAUAAGAUUCCUAUAUUUCUUCUUAAAACGUGUUGACUUGAUCCUACAAGCAAAAACACCACCCCAUAACCUUGCCAUUUAAAAUAAUUAAAUGGAAAAAAAUCCUUUGAAGGAAAAAAAGAAAUAGGUGAAGAUAGCCACACCAAUGCACAAAGAAUGAAUAGGGAUGCAUUGGAGAUGAAUAAGGGCAGAAACUGACAUGACAUCUUUCUUUCAUGCUCUUUUUGUUAGAGCGUAGUGGGAAUAGCCCCUUCCGUUGCCUGAAAUAAGGAAUAAAAAUUUCUCACCAUAGAAUAUUCGCUGUCAAAUAAAACUCUACGCCGAUGAUUCUCUCACGUCCACACCUCAUUAUUCAACCAACCAAAAUUCGGUACUACCAGCCACUUAUUAGUAGCCAAACAAAAUAAUCUAGGUGAAAACUCCUUCAAGCUCUAGUUCCCCACCGAAAUGUCAAGUUAGAAAAGAGUUUGGGAUCCAUCCGUAAUGUCCCUCCAAAUGUUUUCCUCAAACCACCCACCAUUAAUCCCAAUGAAGUGCCAACUCUACACAAAUCUUUCCACCAAGUAGAAGAAGAACUACUUAGGAAAAUAGUGACAUCAUCUCUAUAUUUUGAGUUAAGAACCUUAACCCAAAUAACUUCCUUUUUUUGUAAUAUUUUCCAUUUCCAUUUCCGAAGUAAAGCAUCAUUAAAAAGAGACAAAUCUCUAAUACCCUAACCACCAAGGUGCUUAGGAUUACAAAACUCUUUCCACCAAGGGGGCAAUGUUAAAUUUCUUGCACUUGUAUAUAUUUUCUUAUUUGUUUGAUUUUAUAUGGGUAGAGGAUUCUUUUCAAUAAAAAUAAAAACCAAACUUAAUUAGAAUAUAUCUUGGCAACAUAAUCUUUAUGAUUCAUUAAUUUUAAGAUAAGACUAAUUAAUUACAAUACUCCUAAUAAACCCAGACAUUGGGCGAAGAGAAAUUAUACUUAUCUUAGUUAUCUAAGAUUUACCCUUGCCCUUGGCUGUAAAUAAAUAAACAAUUUUAAUAUCUUCUAAAUAAUAUUAAACUAUAUAUAUGACUCGAUAAUGGGAUAACCAUUUUAUAGCAUUUAUUCUGAAGAUUGCUUUCACUGUUUAUGGGAUUAUGAAGAUAGAGCUUUCACUAUUUAUGUAUCCCAUGUAAUGCAAGAAUGAGCUUCUUAACAUUCAUAGUCGAAGUUCAUCGUUACAAUAUAACUAAUAGCUUGACUUAUAGGAUCAUAAUUUAAGGAGGUAAAGCACAUGCAAAUCCAUGAAUGAACACUUACAGGAUCAUCAAAACCUCAUCUGGUUUAUUGUCACCAAUGGUAAUGAAUGCUUCUUAGUUCUUAGUUUCUUACCAUAAAAAUAACAUCAGAAUGAUCAAAAUCUCUGCACUACAUUAAUCCAUAUAUAUGCUUAUUUAAUAUAUAUCUAAUAUAUAAACUAGCUUUGACAGACAAACAUAAACAAAAAAAGAAAAGGAAAAAUUUAAGAGGUUCUUACCUUAUGAGAUGGUAGCUUUGGACUUCAAAUUGUGCAGAAAGUGAAGGAGCUUCUGCCAAGUAAAGAUUACAGCUUCCAUUAUAGUUGGAUUUGGACCAUAUUUCAGUAAUAACAGAAGGUACCAUUUCUCCUGCUAGAAAGGGUCCCUAUACUCAUUUCUUCUAUAUCCUAAACUUUUUAUCUGUUCCUUCUAGUGUAUACUUCAACUAAGGUAGGUUUAUUCAUUCAGAAUUAGCGUAUAUUAAUUUAUAAUAUAAGGAUGCAUGAUGUGGAUGUCCCAAAUAAACUAGGUUAUGGAGGGUUAGGUGUCAUUUGGUGAUGGGAUUUACACAGACCUCGAGAGAAGCUGAUCAGUUUAGUGAUUAAAAUAUAAAAACAUUAAUGACUAACUAAUGUGAUGAAUAGGAUUAUGAAUAUACUCUUCAUAAGUUUUAUAAUGAUACAUGAUAAGUGAUUAUGAAGUUGUCAACAUGUACCAUAAACAAUUAGAAAUAUGGGGCAAGAGAACUUUUUAUAUAUCAUUAAUUUGAUUAUUUGAAUCAUGAAAGAAUUUUUUUACAAAAUUGUUAGUAUAGUCAGACCUAUUCUCGAUUUUUAAUGAGUCAAUAGUCGAAUCAUUGAGUCAUUUUACUAACUAACAUUAUUUAAUAAUUUUAUAAUAUAAUUUAAAAAUAUUAUUUAAUUACCUAAUUAAACUACUAGCAAUAAAGUUUGUACUAUAACAAAAUUCACAAAUAAAACGAAAAUAACAUCAAAUAACAUAAAUUUUACACUUUAAUCACAACAAAAAACAUACUAAUAAUUUUAAAACUUAAUUAGAUAAUUAAAAUUUUGUUACAAGGUAAGUUAAUGAAGAAAGUAUCAAAUUUUCUCUUAAAACGAUGUCUUGAUUUUAUUUUUUUAAAUUAGAUUAACUUUGAAAUCCAACCAAAACUUAACCUAGCCCUCAUUUUUAUGCUUAAAUGGAACUGGACAAACUAGUUAUGCCCAUAUUAACCAAGGACAGUCAAUCACUGAGAUUUAAUAUAUAACACAAGGAAGUGAAGAAAAAUGAACUGGAUAUAUACUUUUUUUUUAAGCGUGUAACUACACCCAAUUUAUUAUAUUAAAGAGGAACAUACAAGAGACCAAGUAGAGAAAUUAUAAUUUGUUGAACCUAUAGCUAGAAAGUUCAAGUCUAUUUCUAUUGUACACUUGUGUGAAAAUUGGAGUUUGAUUUCAAGAUGUGUUUUGCCUAGUUUCUAUAGCAUAGUUGGCUAAUUUAUCAGCACAACUAUUAUCUUCCCUAAAGAUAUAAGAGAUAUGAAAAUUCAUUUAGUUCAACUUGGUUUUACAAAUAGUCCACUCAUUGCUAAUUUUCCAAGGAGCCUUGGCCCUACCUUGAAAUAUAUCCACAACCGUGAUUGAGUCACACUUCAGACACAGAUUUGUCGAAUCAUGAUUGUAAGCCAAGUUAAUUGCUUUGAUUGCUGCAAAUAGCUCAACACAGAUUGAUUGUUGUAUGUCUAGGUAGGAUGCAAAGCAAGCUAAGCAGGUCUCAGAGUUAUUGUUAAAGAUUCCACCUACACCCGCAAGGCCAAGAGAACCUUUUGUUGCCCCAUAUGUAUUUGCUUUUAUCCACCCCUCAUUUGGCACAUGCUAGACCACUUCAAUAAUUCUCGGAUCCUUGGUAAGCUUUGAAGGAAUUUUAAAUUUUCUCAACAAAAGAAGAUCAGUGACAUUACAAGUAGAAGAGGUUCUUUGUGAGCAAUUUCUAGCCAUGGAUGUCUCUCUUGAUUUUAGAGAUUGCUUGGUUGAGAGGUAUCUGCUUAUCAUCAAAUCUAAUUUGGUUUAUACAAUACCAUAUUGUGGAAAUAGUGUGCACUACACAAGCAAAUAAAACCUCUUUCAGUUGGUUUGUGAAGUGAUUCUUGCAGUUCAAUAGGAUAGAGUGAGUAGAUUGAGUGUUAAGCCUUAUAGAGAAUGUAUCAUAAACCCAUGACCAUAAAGCCCUUGUAAAUCUACAUUAAAGAAACAUAUGAUCAAUGUCCUCAUGAGUGGCAUUACAAAGACUACACUUUGAAGCCAGACACAUGCCUAUCUUUUGUAGGUUUUCCUAAGCAUAAUCCUCUAUGUAAUGAAAGAUUUUGAAGGAGGAAUAGCCAAUGACCAGAUCUGGUUGCACCAGGAAAUCUAUGAGAGAUGGUUAGUAACAUGUGCAAAAGGAACCUUUGAAGUAAGCACACCAUUAGUAGAAUUUUGUCAAACUAAUUUGUCCAGGUUAUUGACUCUACUGAUGUUUAGGAUUUUAGUGACUAACUUAGGGAAUAGCCUGUUCAGAGGCCCUAGGAUCAACCACUUUGCAUAAUGAUAAAGUCAGCCACCUUAGCCUGCAGUUGAGACUGCAAUUCAUGAGGGAUUUGGAGAUAAUCAACUGAAGGGUCACUAAUUCAAUUGUCUCUCUAGAAAUUUAUCUGAUUGCCAUCUCCCACCAACCAUAUUGAAUUCUCAUUAGCCUCAGACCAAUUCUCCUUGAUUCCAUGCCACACCGAGGAUUGGAAAUGCCUACCAUCAGGAGUUAUGUUAUCACCAAACCUCUCUCUCUCUAUAGAAGAUAGCCCAAUUUUGAUUAUAGGUCCUCAUGUCCCAGACCAACUUUAACAAAGUAGUUUUGUUCAUGAUCUUGAUUGACCUAAUCCCCAAUCCACCUUCCUUAGAAGGAGAGUAGACUUUGUGCCAAGCCACAAUGACCAUCUCCCUCACCCCAACUUCACCAUCCCAUAUAAAAUUUCUCAUACCCAUGUCCAUAUAAUUAAGCAGUUGCAGUGGCCACUUAUAGAUUUGGAAGUUAUAGACUACCAUGCUUUGGAUUAUGGACCUGAUCAACUCUACUCUACCAUUUGGAACAAAGAUAAGUCUUUACAAGUAGCCAUCUUAGCUAUUAUUCUAUGUACUAUAGGUUGCAGAUGAAUUUUCUUAGGUUUACCCUUAAAGAGAGGCACCCCUGUAGAAAAACCCAAGUAUGAUGACAAUGAAGCAAUCCCCAUAGGAUUAGUAUUAGUAGUGUAAAACUUGCAUUUAUUUUGGUUGAUAUGUUGUCUAGAGGCCUCAUCAUACUUCAGAAUUUGAUUCAAGCAAUUGUCUUUUAUUGCCCUUGCAAAAGAUUAGAAUAUCAUCUGCAUAGAGAACAUGACUAGGAGUUUGAAGACCUAUAGAGCCAGAUAUGGUGCUGAGCUGGUUCUCACUGACCAACUCGGCUAAGGACAUCUUUAGCAAGAUAAAACAACAUGGAAAAUAGAGGAUCCCCUUGCCUAACCCAUUUUCUACACCUGAAGAAUCCAACAUUUUUGCCAUUGACAUUGAUGGACAAAAUAGUAACAAUAAGAAUGACAUUGAUCCAUUGAAUAAAUUUUUGAUUGAAGCUAAAAGCCUUAAGAUUAUCCAAUAGGAAUUUCCAGUCUAUUAUGUCAAAGGCCUUUUUGAUAUCAAACUUUAUUGAAAGGUUCCCUCCAAAGGUCUUAUAAUCAAGCAAAUUAAUGGCCUCAGAAACUAGACAAAGGCAGUCUUGGAUUCUUCUAUCUUUUAUGAAACCCUUUUGUUGUUUAGAGAUGAUCCUAGGGGCAAUGAGUGCUAGUCUAUCAGCCAACACUUUAGUUAUAAUCUUAAAAUGAAAAUUAGCUAAAGCUAUCGGCCUAAACUCCUCAAUCAUGUGUGCGCCUGAGCUUUUAGGAAUCAAAAUUACGGAGUCAGGGUCAAUGUUGGGCAACAACCAACUUUGGUGAAAAAAUUGCCUAACAGAGUUACAAACAUCAAUAUAAAUCAGAUCCCAAAAGCUUUGAAAAAACAUCUUCCAUAACCAUCAGGGCCAGGUGCUCCCUCACCAUUCAAAGCAAAAACAACCUCUAUGAUUUCCUCAUAUAAAGGAAUUCUGGUAAGGUUGUUGUUUUCCUCACCAGUCACCAAGGAUGGGAUCACAUACUGAAUUAGGCUGUUAGGAGAGGUAAUGUUUGGAGAAGUAAAUAAGUCAGUGUAGAAUCUUAACACACGAUUAUCAAUAUCAUCUUGGCUGGAUAUUAUAGCAUCACCAUUUUUCAACAUAGAUAUAGACUUUGUGGCUUGUCUAAUCUUAGUUACUUUGUGAAAGAAACUAAUGUUUCUGUCCCCUUGAGCAAACUAAUUGAUUCUAGCCUUCUCUUUCCAAAAGACCUAUUCUUGAAAGUGCAAAGAGUCAAGGCCUGCACAUUUAAGGCUAACCAAAGUUUUGAUGAAGAAAACACAAAUACAAGAAAGCUUGAAGAUCAUACAACAAACAACAAGCCAAAGACUCAUAGGUUACAUCUAUAGAUGUAGGACUUUAUUAUAUUGACUUAUAAUUUUAAGUCUUAAGAUGAUUGCCUUAGAUUGAGUCUAGGUUAGGUAAACCUAGGUGGAAAGUCUCACAAGAACUGAAAUAGAACAAGAUUAAAAUUGAGACAUAACAUCUAAAUAUCUUAUGAUAAAUAGGUUCAUGCAUACACAUACAUAGUUUCAUGCAUUAAAGGUAAUAUAUUUUGAAAAGCUAUGUAAAGCAUGUGCAUAUCAUUAAGGUAGUUUAUCAUUCAUUCCUUACAUCAAAGAAAAACAUUUCUAACUCAGUAUAAUCGAUUAAGUAGUUAGUGUAAUCGAUUAUCUCGAAUUCAGUUACUAACUGAUCUGAUGUUGUUAGCACGUUGAUCGAUUAAGAUACCAUAUAAUCAAUUAAGACGUAACUGAAAACUGAUUUUUAACAACUCGUUAAUCGAUUAAAUAGAAGGAUAAUCGAUUAAUAUGAGUAUAAGUAGGAUUAGUAUAAAUCUAUAAAUUCUGUAAUUCUUGCCAAUGUGGCAUAACAUGCAUAUUUCGAAAAUUGUUAGAGAGCAUACAUUUUCAUAGAUUACAUUGCAGUGAGAAAGUGCAUUUAGAAAAACUAUGGAGUGAAAGCAUUCUGAUUUAGGCUUAGAGAUUAAUAUCAUUGCAUAUAGUCUCUAGUUUUCUAUGCAUUGAAUAUCUUGAUUUUUUUGAGAGAUUUGUGAGGAAAAUAUUUUUCUUGAAAGAGUGUGAAUCAUUUUUGGAAAACCUAAUGCAUUAAAUUUCAUUUAGAAUUAGGUUAUUGUGGAUUUUCUGCUUUAUGUUUUAGAUUGAGUUUUCAAUUGUUGAAUCUGAGUAUUAAGUACUCAAGUCAACUCAAUACAUUAUGUUUGAACAAGGAAAUUGAUCUCUUUGUGAAUUGUUUCACUACGAGAGAGAUCUGUGUAAUCUUCUUAGAGGCUAAGAGGUCUUAGUUCGAGCGAUACCAAAGCUGGGGCCGAUCAGGAAAGGAUAGAAGAUCCUAGUAGGCGAUUUAGUUAGGUCAAACCUAGGUUAUCAAGCUCACAGGGGCUAAGUAAGGACCGACUUAUUUUUUAUUUAUUUUGUAAUUGGAAGUGUGUUUUUAAAACUCACAAUUGCAAUAGUUGAAUAAAAUUUUCCCGAGAUCGAAAGAGGAUGCCUGGAUGUAGUUUGCAGUGGACCGUAAAUGAACCAGGAUAAAAUUCCUUGUGCACCUAUUUCUAAUCUCUAAUCUUUUUACUUUCUAUCUUUACUUUGUUGAUUAAUUGUGUUAAAAUGAGUUGCAUGCUAUAAUCUAUUUAUUGUCUUUCUAUAAUCUCAUUAAUGAAUUAUCUGUUAAAGAAUCGAUAAUUGGUAACUUGUUGUGCAAGAAACCAAAGAAUCAAGGCGUGCGAGUGUCAGGAUAAUCGAUUAUCCAUAAGCAUAAUCGAUUAUAUCCGAGCACUAUUUAAUCGAUUCAGACCAAGCAUAAUCAGACCAAGUGAUCUUGGGCACCUAUUUAUCCCUCCCCCUUCUAGGUGUAUUAUGACAUGCUGAUAUCCAAGAAUUCUAUCAUAAUAGCCUCCAAUAACUUAGACUGAACUCCCCCGUCUUGCUCAUUGAACAUAUGAUUAGGGCCAAAAUUGCUGAUUAACUUUGAGUUGCACAUUUCCAAAAUCAUUAAUGUUCCAAAUUUUCAAGUCUUUCUUAAGGUUUCUUAGCUUUUGUGACAGCACAAACAUAGGACAGCCAAAGGCUUUAACUUUCCAACUGUCUUAAACCAGUCUUCUACAGUCAACAUUUUGAAUUUACAUUUUAUGAAAUUUGAAAGAAGUGAGCCUAACUUUAUUUUGUAAAGAAGAUUGAAGCAAAUAGGGUGAUGGUUAGAUGUUAAUCUUGGCAGAGUGCAACAAGAGACCUGAUUCCAACAACUUCGUCAAUCCUCAUUACAUAAAGCCUUGUCCAAUCUCUUUUCAGUUGGAGCAGCACCCCUUCUUCUAUUAGACCAAGUAAAUUGAGCUCCUAAAGUGUUCAAGUGCAAUAAACCUGCAUUAUUAGAAAAGGAUUUGAAUUCCUAGCAGCGAGUUCUAGCAUGUAAUCUCUCACUUCUACACUCAUGAGCCCCAAGGACAAUAUUAAAGUCUCCAAUGCAACGCCAAGGACCAGGAUUAGCAGUGAUGAUAUUUUGAACAUUAUUCCAUAGAGACCUUCUCUAAACAAAACUGUUGUGGGCAUAAACAACAAUGAUGAAGAUAUUUUAGUUAUCAACACUAACUUUAAUAGCAUAUGCUGGUCAGAAUUGACCAAAACUGGAGGAUCAAUGUCAAGCUUACAAAGACCCAAAAUAGAGGGUAACUGAUUACCUCUAUCAUUAUACACAAAAGGCUUUAGCUUCAUUUCCUUCCAAACUAUUGGAUUAACAACAUCAGCAGGGAUCAUUGGUUCAACAAUAAACACCAGAUCAGGAGUAUUUGUUACACAGAGAUUUUUCAGAAAAAGCCUAGUUUUGAUGUUUUCAAAACCUAUGCAAUUCCAGUAUAAAACUCUCAUUGAUUACUCUUUAGGUAGCCACCCCAACGGGUUUGAUGCACUUUUUGUUGGUUACUAUUCUUUAUCAGUUUUUUCUUUUGAGCUUUUGUUAACACUGGUGUGAAUUCCUCCCCCACCUCCUCUGGUUCAUUAUCAUCAACCCAUAACCUCCCUACUAUUCAAAUGCCAUUGGCCACUUCCUGAUUUUCUAUCUUAGCUGUUUCUUGCACCACCAUAUUUUCAUUUGUGGAAAUGUUCAAGUCCUCAUCUUUAGUAGAGUAUUUCCCUCCACUAUCAGAUGUUCUAGUCCCCUUCCAAUUACUUUUUCUCAUUAAAAUUCGUGGAGUGAGCUCCAAUUUCUCCAAAUCCUCCAUAUUUGUACCGCCUCUAUUGUCAAUGUCUAGAUUUAUCAUUAAAUCAUUCAUCUUCUUUGCAUUCAGUUCUUCAUCUACAAGGAUAUCUGCAUGCACCAUCUUACUUCCAACUCCUCUGUUGCCAGAUAAGGAACCUGCACCUCUAUCCUUUUUUUGAUGCUCCACCAACAUUCUUUUUUAUUUGGCUUUUGUGUGGUUCCUCCUCAGCAGUUUUGUUGCUCUCUCUGCCACAGUUGGUUACUUUAUGACCAAUGACUAGGCAACCAUUACAGAAAUCAGGGAGAUUUUCAUACUCAAUUGGCACAAAGAAAACAACCCCUUCCCUUUCAACAAGAAUCUGAUCAGACAACUAAGAUUUAAAGUCAAUUUCUACCAACACCUUUGCAUAGUGUCCAAAAGAUCUGUUACUAGUUGUCACCUCCAAAGAGAUAGGUGUUUCAAUACCAUCUGAUAUAGAGUAUGUGAGCAUAGGGCUCCAAUGCUCUUGAGAGAGGUUAUGGAUUCUAACCCAGCAUUGUGUGUGAGUUAGCUUUUGCAUACAUGGGUUAAAAUCAGGUGUCCAUAAGAACAUUCUGAGAAACCCCAGUUUCAAACUCCAUGAGCCCACUGAGAAAAUUCUUCUCAUAUAUGCCACGGAAGAGAAUGAGAAAUCAUAGAAACUUUUCCCAAUGAUAUCAUUGACCAUGUUCCAACCAUAUUGCACAUUGUUGUUAGUUUACUUUUCAGAUUUGUAAACUUCAAGGGUGACUCUUGCACCUGUUUAACCCUUCUUGAUAUUCAAAUUCUGGGAUUUUUAUAGCAAUUGCAUCCCCUUUGAUACAUGGUUCUGGCAGUUGUGAAGAGGGAAAAUCGCAAGUGUUUCUAAGAGCUUGGAUGAAGGAUUUUUUUUUCCUGUAUUAGAUCUUGAAGCCAAGCGUUGAUUAGUACUUUUUGCUGCGAAAUGGAGCUUUAUCCUCCCCAAUCACACAACUCCAAGGAAUAACAUAUUUUGUGCAAUUCAUAAUGAAGAAUGAGAGUUAAAAACGGAUUGGGUCCAUGAUUCUUGGGUCAACCCUAGCGGAGCAACUUUUUCGCCAUGUGAUUGACUUUAGAUAUUAUAUCAUUCAAGGAUAUAUACUUAACUAAGAGUAAAUUGAAUAACACUUCUUAAUGUAAUAACUAUUAUUUGUAUAAGAGAAAAGAGUUGAAAUAGAAUCAUUCCAUUAUUUAUCAUCUCUCAAAUGUGACCAACUCUAAUACCAUUGAUAAGUUGAAGAAUAAAUAAUUGUACACUUUGUAACAUUAUUUCUUAUUACACAAACUCUCAAAUACAGGAUGCUAAUAGAAAUAUUAUGCAUAUUUUUUAUUGAAAAAAAACAUUUUAUUUUUGUUAAAUUAAAGAGAUAAUUUGAGAACAAUUAAACCCCCUCUCUUAAACCACCACAAUUGCAGCAAACAUAACAAAAAAACAUAACGACAUUUCUAAGCAUGAAAAAAUUAGUGAACCAUGCCAAAACUACAUUUCUCAUAUUCCACUAGCUACUUAGGAACCAUUAUACCAAAAGCUAGGGGAUGGUCCAUGCACAAACAGGUACACAACACUCCAAACCAUGAAGACCCCACAGAUACAUGAAGCCACAAACACAUCUUUAACUUGCAAAAUAGUGAACGAUGCCUUUUCAAAAUAAUAAACCUGCAAUAAAACAAACAAAUACAAAGCCAUAAUUCAUCAUGGAAUGAACAUCCAUGUAUAGAGAUAAAAAAAUUAAAAUUGUACUUCUCAAUUGUAAUUGUGGUCACAAUAUUAUAGUUUUUGAAGUCUCCAUAAAGACAUCGUUAUCUCAAUUAUGGACGUGCUUUUCCAUAAUUUUUCAUAAUAACAGUAAACUCAACAUAACCUUAACCAUAUAAUUUGAAAUAAUUAUAAAGAGUAAUGUAUGCAUGGAAAUGGUGGCCAUAGAUCUAGGUUACACAGAAUCUCUUAGUCCCUUAUAUUGUUCUCUUCAUCUACAUUCAUUGAUUGCCCCAUGUUAUAUAUAUGACUCUCAAGAUGGUUCAAACCAUUGUUGUCCGGAAUACAAUUCUUUUAUAUUCACUUAUCUAAUUUGUAUUUGUUGGUUAUGUAACAAACAAAAGUGCAGAGAGAAAAUGUGUUAUGUAGAAUGCAUUAUCUUAUUCAUCAAUAAGACACAUGAUUUAUACACCAUGGAAAAGAAAACUGACGCAGAAAAAUAAAUUUCUACAUAAAUAGCAUAAUGAGUCACAUAAGUGCUCUAACAUUGUAGGUGAAAUAUUCCUAACUGUUAUAUUGACUCUUUAUUUCCUAAUGAAUACUCCUUAUUUCCUAAUGAAUAGAAACAUAACAGAUUCUGAGUCAUAUUAAUCAACACUCCUCCUUGACUCUGGAGCUGUUAACUUCAAGCUUUUGCCAUAUGCUUAUUCUCAAAACCGUCAAGAUUGAACUUGGUUACGUAAGUCCAUUUGACUCAUAUACCCUUCUUGUGUUUAGGCAUCUCUACCAACUUCCAUGUCUCAUUUUUUCAAUGAUCAUGAGCUCCUCCUUCGUUGCAUCUAUCAAUUUCUGGUCACUUCCAACUUCUUCAUAUUUUGCAACAUCUAAUGGUGUACUCAUAGGUCCUCCAAUAUUUGUGUGUAUCAGUUGCAGCUUCUGUGUAGCCUUCCAUAUGCCUUUUUGCGGAAAAAGAAGCCUUGUAUGCUUCCCAUAUCGGCAGAUAAUGCGUGUAGGAGACUUUGUUUCUAUUUGUUUUUUGUGUAUUGCAACUUGCUCAUCUUUCAUCAAAUCCAAGACAAAACUUUUGCCUUUCAUUUGAACUUUGAACACCUCUCUACUUUCUGAAUCUUUAAUCAUGCAUUUUUUUUCUUCAAACAAAACCUUAUAGCCUUUCAAACAUGUGUAACUUUUAAUUGCAAUUGUUCCUUUGCCUUUUGUUGCAAUAUAUGUCCCAUUUCCAAUUCUGACUUUGGAAAUAGGAGUUUUGUCAAGCUCUAUGAAGAGCUCACGAUCAUAUGUCAUGUGGUUUGUACAACCACUAUCAUUGAGCCAACUUUCUGUAGAACUGUUGGCGUCAAAACAUGAUACUGCGAAUAGUUGCUCUUCUUGUGGUUGAUCAUCAACAAUAUUAGCUUCUCCUUAUUGUUGUUGUUGAUGUUGUUGAGACUUGCAUAUUUUUGCCAUGUGCCUUAACUGACUACACUUAUAACAUCAUGCAUCAUGCCUCAACCAACAUAUGUUUUGUGGAUGAUUAGUUUUUUUGUAGUAUGAACAAGGUGGAAAGACUUCAUUGUUGCUGCUUUGAUUAUUGUAUUUGUUGUUUGCAGAACAUGCAGUUUUGUAGUUGUUAUUUUACCUCCUUCUUUUGUCAUUCCAACCAUUGUUGUUUUGUAAUUUGGUUUGGAAAGCACUCUCCAUUGAUCUUUCUUGCCUCAUAAGCCUCCUUUGUUCUUGUGCUUGUAAUGCAUUUAACAUUUCUACCAAGGUGAUGCUUAACAUAUCCUUAGAUAUUUUCAUAGAUGAAAUUGCAGCUUCAUAUUUUUCAAGAAGUGUAACUAGAAUCUUUUGAACUAAUCUAUAAUCAGAAAAUUCAGUACCAAGAAGUCUUACAUUGUUGGCAAUGGCUAGAAGUUUAUCAGAGUACUCCUUGAUUAUUUCUAAAUAUCUCAUCCUUUGAAUUUCAAAUUCUCGGAUCAAAUUCAUCACUUGCAUCCCUUUGUCCCUUUCAUCUCCCUCAUAUUCUUGCUUCAAAAAAUUUCAUAUUUCACAUGUUGUUUUCAGUGUCAUUAUUCUAUUAAAAAUGGUGGGUGAAAUAGCUGCAUAUAGACAUGUUCUUGCUUUGGACUUUCUUUGCUUCAUCUCCUUCUCAUUUUUAAUUUGCUCAAUAGUUGGAUUGUGCAGAAGAGUUGGAAUGACAUAAUCUUGUUCAGUGGCAUCCCAUAGAUCAUUAGCGUCCAAGAAAGCUUCCAUUCUAACAACUCAUACAUGAUAAUUCUUUCCAGUAAACACUGGAGGUGAAAAUGCAGCAGACACUACUUCUGAAUUCAUUCUGACAAUUUUAGGCAAUAGAAGGUAAUAGAGAAAGUCUUUUGGUUGUGUUUGGUUUUUGUUUUUUCUCACAGAUCCCUCAAGAUAUAGCUUUAGAUACCAAUUUGUUGGUUAUGUAUCAAACAAAAGUGCGGAGAGGAAAUGUGUUAUGUAGAAGGCAUUAUUUUAUUCAUCAACAAGACACAUGAUUUGUACACCAUGGAAAAGAAAACUGAUGCAAAAAAAUAAAUUUCUACAUGAAUAGCAUAAUGAGUCACAUAAGUGUUAUAACAUUGUAGGUGAAAUAUUCCUAACUAUCAUAUUGACUCUUUAUUCCUAAUGAAUACUCCUUAUUACCUAAUGAAUAGAAACAUAAUAGAUUCUGAGUCAUAUUAAUCAAGAGUAUCACUUUCUUCGCUAACGAGGUAGUGUCAUGUUGGGGGCAAAAAACAACAUAUAUUACAAAAUACAUGAAACAAGCUAUGUAUCGAUAUACAACUAAAUGUAUUAUCUCAUUUUAUGACUAGCUAAUAAACUAAUCCUCUUCGGCCUGUAUGAUUUCUCUCCUAAUAAGUGUCGCUCACAUGAAUUGAAUUAUGCCUGUUGGUCUUUCUGGAAUCUAGUGAGACCUUAUAUCACUAAAUCAACACCUUAUUGAUUAAAUAUACAAUUUAUUUGGAUAUAUCAAUUAUCACUUUUUAUAUUAUAAUUAUUGCAAUAUUUUGUUUAAGACGAACUAAGUAUCAUAUAUGCAAUAUGAUGAAUUAGAUAAACAUUAAGUAGGGUUAUCAAGAGAAAUUAUGGAUUUAGUUACAAACAUGUUAAAGAAGUUUUAAAAUAGCAUGAUACAUAUUGCAAAACUACAAGCAACCGGCUGGACCUAGCUUAAAACAUUUAAGAUUCAAAGUUUGAAAGGUUGAAUUGAAUUUCACUACUCUAAUAAUAAGAUAGUUGCUAGGAAUUUACCUAGGAAAUGAAAAAAAUACAUAUAUGAAUCUUCUAUGCCGCAAUUUCCUUUAAUUGUUUAUUGAAUAGUGAUCAUUGAUUAAUUUGAAACACCUAAAAGCUUGUUAUGACCACAGAAAGUGACAUUUUCCAGUGACUAAGACAUUAGUCUGUCAUGGAAAAUCAAAGAGUGGAUUGUGCAUUGUGGAAACAUGUAAGGCGUGUCCAUUGCAAGGAGCAAAGAUUGGGUGCUCAUAUCAACUUUCAAUGUAAUACUAAUAGGAAAAUAUCAAAGCCUGUUUAAUUUCUAAAACAUUAAUGAUGAACACUUUCGGAAAAUUUAUUUCUUUUCUUUUACUAUCACUAGCCAAUUCAAGAAAACACUAUAUUACAAGUAAAAAAAGCUUCUUGAAAUUUAGAAAUAGAUAAAAAAAUUAAAUUAAAUUAGCACCUUAUGGGUAUUCAAAAAUAAGUGCUUCAAUAAAAAAAAUAAGUUUUUCUUUAAAAAAAAUUACUUAACGUAGGGAAUUACAUAAGGUUGCAAUAAUCUAAUUUAGUUUGGAUUUUAUUUUCUUUGUAUUGUAACAUAUUUUUGUUGAAACUUGUAACUUGAAAAAGUUGAAGAAUUUCAGAAUGGAAAAGAUUGAGUGAACUAAUAAUAAGUAAUAAAUUGAGUGAACUAUUAAUAAGUAAUAAAAUAAGCAUAAAUUAAUAGUACAUUUAAAUAAAAAUUAAACUAAAUAAGUUUUAAAUAAUUAUUCUAUUACCAUCAUUCCAACUUGACUUCCCUAAGCAAAGUUGCAUCUUGAAAAUUUGGUAGACCAAAAAGUGAACUAUUUUUGGAGUUUCAGUCAAGUCUGCCUUAUAUGAAGGUAUUUUCAUAUUUAUGAGCAGAUCUUUAAGAAGACAAUUAAAAGUAUGUCAAGAUAAUUGAUCAAGAAGUCUUAUAUGAAGGUGUUUUCAUAUUUAUGAGCAUAUCUCCAUUAAUUUUCCUAUUAUAUUUAUUAUUGACCCAAUAUACGUAAAUUAAUAGUUUAUGGUAUGAUAUCAUCUCCAUUUUUAAAUUUUUGUCUACCUCUUCAUAAAAUUUCACUUGGUAUACUACAUCUUAUACUAAAUCUAUAUACUUCUAAAGUAUAUCUUCACAUUUUCUAGCAUCUCAUUUAAUUUCUUUUUCGAGUUUCCAACUAAGAUUAUCAUCCACAAAACAAAAACAAAUGCAUUCUAAUACUAGUUUUGGAUAUGCUUAGUGAGAAAUUAAGACCAAUGUAAAUAAAUAGAUGCUUAAUGUUGACCCUUGGUGUAGACUUAUGGUAAUAAGAAUAUGUUGGUCUUGGUCAUAUCAUACAUAUCAUUGAUUACUUAAAUAUAGACAAUUCAAAUGAAUUUUUUCUCUAGAGUUUUUUACAAAGCCUCUCUAGGCAUCUUAUCAUACGUCUUCUCCAAAUAAAUGGAGACCAUGUAUGUCAAUCACCAUAGCAAGUAUAUAAUAUCUAUGGUCGACUACCUCGACAUAAAAUAAAAUUCAUUUUUAUGAUAUUCGACUCUUGUCUCAACCUUCUCUUAAUUAUUAUCUCUCAUAGUUUUGUAGUAUGAUUCAUGAGCUUAAUCUCCCUAUAGUUUGCACAAUUUUGUAUGUCAUCUUUGUUUUUAAUCCCCAUCUACUUGUCUAGCAUUUUCCUAGAUCUCAUGAUCUCAUUAAAUAACUUUGUGAGUCAUCUAAUAUCCUGUUUAAUCUCAUAUAACCUUUUGGGCUUCAUUAUGUAUAUUAUCUGGUCUAACUGCUUUGUCAUUUUCCAUUACUUUUGAAACUUCUUUCACCUUCAAUUUCCAAAUUCCAUUAUAAUUAAAAAGUAUAAUUUGAUCCUUUGUGUAGUAUAUCACACAUCAAUAAAUUUAUGUACCUCAUUCAAAAGUUCCUUCAUAUUUUUGUCUUUUAUCAAGAAUUUUUAUCUUUGUCUUUAAUAUAUUUCACUUGUUUGAAUUCUCUUAUCUUUUUUCCCUACCCUUCACAUGUGUAGACACUUCCCUCCCCUCCUUCAUACCUAGAGAUUUGGAAAAUUUAUAGAUGUGGUGCACCUUGACCGAAAAAUUAUGGUUUUGGUGCACCUUUUAGAAAAAUUACACAACUGGUGUAAUUUUAUAGAAAUCGGCAAUUCCAUUGCCGAUUAAUAUAUUUUUUUUCUCUCUCCUCCCCAAAAUCGGCACUGGGGAGGGAGUUUCAUUAAAAUAAAUUUUUUUUAAAACUCCCCCUAAAUCGUCAAUAAGGGGGAGAUUUAUAUUAUUGAUUUUUUUUUAAUUUUUUUCUAUCCCCUAAAUCGACAACCGGGGAGUUUUUGAUUUAUUUUAACUUGUGGGAGUUAUAUUAUUAGUUUCAGGGUUUAAUUUUUCAAACACAAAUCCUAACAACACACAACAUAAUAAAUUUUGUCAACCCUAACCCUAAUAACAGAACACAAUAAUGAAAAACACAAAAUUUAUUAGGGUUAUUAGGGUUAGGGUUGACAAAAUUUAUUAUGUUGUGUGUUGUUAGGAUUUGUGUUUGAAAAAUUAAACCCUGAAACUAAUAAUAUAACUCCCACAAGUUAAAAUAAAUCAAAAACUCUCCGGUUGCCGAUUUAGGGGAUAGAAAAAAAAAAUAUAAAUAUAAAUCUCCCCCCUAUUUAGGGGGAGUUUAAAAAAAUAUUAUUUUAACUGGGGGAGGAGAGAGAAAAUAUAUAUAGAAAUCGGUAAUGGAAUUGCCGAUUUCUAUAAAAUUACACCAGUUGUAUAAUUUUUCUAAAAGGUGCACCAAAAUUGUAAUUUUUCGGUCAAGGUGUACCACAUCGGUAAAUUUUCCCUAAAGAUUUAUAUAACUCACCAUAUAUUUCAUCUUUAGUUUCGCUUACUACUUCUUUACUCUCUUUUUUUAGUUACAUUGUAUUUUCCACAACUUUCAGAUUCAGAAUUCUAUUCUAUUCUAGAUUCAGAAUAUUACGCUAGCUGUCCAGGUGCAUACAUCCAGAGCAGAUCAAACCUUUGGAAAUUGGUAGAUAUCAUUUUCGAGGGUUCCACCAUAAGGUAAGACCCACUUCCUUACUAAAAUCUAAACAAAUUUAUUAACAAAGAUUUAAUUUAUUAUUACGGCAUUAAUUUUUUAAUGCCAAAUUUCUAUUCAACUUAACUGGUCUUGGAAAUAUUCCAGCUGAGAAAUUUCUUCCCUAAAAUCUUAGACUAAACCCAACUUUUUAUAUACUUCAUAAGCAAAAUUUUAUUACAAAGAUUGAAAAUAGAAAUUGUAACCAUUGUCGAGGUUUUAACGUUAAUAAUAACUUAAUACUCACACUCCAUGUCACAGAGUUCUAUCAACUAAGUAAUAUAUCGAAUUCAAACCAAACUCAAUUAAUAGUCUAUUAGACCGAACUCAGUUGACUAAUUAAUAAUGAAACAGUGUGGUGAGUAAUUUAAUGAACUCCUAUGAUUUGAUUUAAUACUCGGCACAUGAAUCUAAAAGCACUCAGUGCAAGAGCCCGUGCAAUAAAAGAAUAUCUCAAUAUAUACACUUUUAUAGAUUACUUAUAUUAUAUUAUAUUAUAUAUAUAUAUAUAUAUAAUUUUUUGUGUUAAUAAUUCUUUUAUAAGAUUAAAAAUUAUUAUAUAACUUACCCAGAGGUUGCUUAUAAAAUGAGAGCAAGGUCAGUUUAAUUAUCACUUUAGUUUAAUAAUGAACCAAAAUUUAACUAAUCCGGAUGAAUUAAUAUGUUAAACGGAUUGACCCACCUAAAAUAAGUAAAUAAACAAAUAAAAAUACCUUAAAUAUGUUUAAAGUGGGGGUAUAAACAAGAAUACAUAAGCAUUUUACUAAUUAGUUUGUUAAUUCACCAAUUAACUUGUUGGAAAUAUAUGAAUUGUGUUUAUAGGCCACCACUCAAUUGAAUCAAGACAUAUAAAUUGCGUUAAAAUAGAUAAAAUACUAAAAAAAUCAUAGGACAAAACUUGAAAUGACUAUGAAGUUGUGGCCCAAAACUUUAUUUAAUGGCUCUCUUAUCUUAUAUAUGAUAGUGUUCUUAAAUCAGAAAGUGCUUUAAAACAGUGAAUUUUUUCCAGCAUCGAAUGUUUUGGCCAAGUUUACACAUCACCAAUUCUAAUCCCGAAAUAUGUGAAAACAUAAGGAUUUUGAUAUCCCAAUAUGACCAAAAGGUCAAAUGUUUAAUUCUUGGGAACGAUACUUAUUGAGAGAAGCAUACAUCCUGAAAAAGAUUAGUUCAUUAUCCCUAGGAUGAAAGGAUACCAUUUGUAUAGUACAAAAAAUACAUAAAAGUAUCAGGAAGAUGGACACAAAUUCACCAAAUAAAAAAUAUUCAUGUUAGUGCUUAUAAAUUAUUUCUGUUACUAAACACUAGUUACAAGUAGUUUUCUUACAUAAUGGCGUCAAGUCUUUGAUAUGGAUAAAAUGCUACCUAAUUGUAAAAAACAUAAAAAAAUUAUCAUCAUUAGUACAUACCUCUUUGUAUUACUAGUUUGAAAUGAACCAAAAAAAGAAAGUACCAAAACUCUAUGUAAGAGGUUGAAGGGUAUCAUGUCGUAGGAAGAUAGUACUGACUAUAGCUAUACCACAGUUGGUACUAUCACUCCUGCGACAAUACACCCUUAACCGCUGGUGUUGUUUGUGUUCCUUUGUUUUCAUUCAUUAUAUGUCAAGACAUGCAUGCAUAUAUAUAGGCUUCAAGUGUAGUGUGAGCAACAUGGGUGUUCUGUCUUUUCUUCAUUUUUUAUUUUUCUCUUGUUAUAUAACUUUAACCACGUGUAUGGAAUUGCUGAGAAGUUGCCACAAUUUGGAAAAUGAAAAUUGUGGUGGAAAGGUUCCUAGUUUGGAGGCUUAAUUCUACAUCAUUAUUUCCCUAAAGAAACUUUCCAAGCAGCUUACAUUGAUUAGAAGAUAGUAGUUGAAAGAAAUAUAUUCAUUAGGUUCUAGGAAGUAGCACUUAUUUCACUUGGUCAAACGAAAAUAUUGGAAAAAAAUUGCAUGCAUUCGGAGGAAUAAUCUGUUAGGAAUGUAUAGGGAUGACAACUGGACGAAACGAACACGAGUAGUGUUUUCCUAUACCCAUAUAUACAAUUUGUAGGUACUCACAUAGGUAGUGAGUAUUUUAUGGGUAGUGUUUUCCCAUAUAUAAUAAUUAUUACACGAGUAAUAAAAUAUAUAUACAUAAAUUUAUCAUUAUAUUUCAAUUACUAAACUUCAUUAUAAAAUAAUAACAAAUAGAUAGUGUAUAAUUAUAAAUAAUAAAAAGUGGAAUAUGCAUAAAUUAUUUAAUUAAAAAACUAAAUUUAUAAAUACGUAGGAAUCCGUGGAAUAGGUAUCAUGAUACAUGUUCUCAUCCAUAAUAUAUUUUUACAUGUACUCGUUACGAGUAUUUUAGUCAGUACCCAUAGGUCUAGGAAUGGCAACGGGGCAGGUCAAGGUAGGUCAGGGUCGAGUUUGCAUAUACCCGAACCCGAAAUUAAAAAAUCGGAGCCGAACUCUACACGGUUGAAAAUAAAGAUAUCAUCCCCAAUCCCGUUAGGUUUCGGGUAACCCAAACCCAAAAAUUAUAAAUGUACUAAGGAAAGUAUGAUAUCAUCUUCGUUUCAUUUUUCUCAACCAUUUCCAAUUUCUCUUGUAUUAUUUCAUUUCUUUUGUGUUUGAAGAUCCAAUAGUAUGUAAAAUAAAAUUAGAAAUUAAAAACAAUGACGCAUGAGAAAUUUCAAAUUUAAAUUGAAUUAAAUUACUUUGGAGCAGGUUUGAGUUAGUGUCUUUGUUCUACCAAACCUGAACCCAAAAAUUAAACUAGGGUAAAACCCGAACCCGAACCUAAUCACAUCGGGUUUUCCCGUUAAAUUCAGGUUCGGUUCGGGCGAGUACCUACAGAUUCGAUUUUCAUUGUCAUCUCUACACUAGUCAAGUAUUUUUAUCAUCCCUAAAAAUAUAAACCAGAUUUGGGAAAUUUAUAUAUAAUAGACUAAAAGAAUAUAUAAUAAUUCAUAAAUUUAACUAAGUUCAAUAUCACAUUUUAACUUAAAACCGACAAUAGGCUUAUGUAUCUAUAAGGAUUAUAAAUUAUCUAUGAUUACUUCAACAAAUUCACUUUGACCACUACAAUCCCCCAUUCUUGUGGAAUCCCAAUAUUAAUUAAUGUUCCUCUUGGAAGCCCUAAUUUGACUCAUUUAAUUAAACUCUAUUUUAGACCUGGUUAUAUGUAUAAAUAGAAAGGUGGAUGAGUAGAGAUAAUGUCUCUCUUAAAAUAUAAACAAAGAUAUAUUUUUAUGAGACUAAUUUUUUUUUAAAAAUAACAGAUUUUAUUUGAAGAAACGAAGUUAGUUUUACAAAUGGAGAAAAGUGACAUGUAUCUAAAGUUAAAGAGUAUGCUAAAAUAAGUAGUUUAUGUUUAACUUAGCAAAGAAUUUGUUGAAAUAUGAUGUUGGUAAAUUAUAAGUAUUCUAAAGGUCUUAUAAUUGAAUGGAUUUAUAAAUCUAACAUCUUAAUCUUUUAAACUCUUAAAUUUGGGCACCUUUAACUUCAAUUAUAACUGAUAGUUCAAAUAUACACGAGUAUUAAUGUGACAGUAAUGACAUAAUUCAUUGGAUUCUUUAUUUCGAAGUCUUCCAUAUAUUUAUAGUUUGAAUGAAGUUCAUAACUAUUUAGUUCCACUCAUCAACUUGAUUGAUUCAAUUUAUCAAUUCAAAUGAUAAUUAUUUAUUUUAUAUAUAAAAAUUUAAGAUUUUGUACACAUAUACAUAGAAAUAUAUUGGAUAUAUAUAUACAGUUACACUCAUAUAUAUAUAGUAGAGUUAGUUGAUGAAUAUAACCAGUCAAACAGUAUUUGGCUUAAGUUCGACUUGUUUAUUCAAUAAGUUUAAUUUUUAUUCAUUUGUUUCAUGAACUAAGUUUAUCGACUAAAUAAUAAGUCAAGUUUUAAAUAGAUGACGAGUUGGUUCGAUUUAUUAGUAAUCAUAUAUAACGGAAAUUGAGGAGUAAAAGUGGGUAAUAAAAACUAUGUGAUUAUUAGGGUCAUUUUAGUAACAUCAAUUUAAAACUAAAAAUAAUAUCUCUCUCAUCCCUCUUUAUUCCCCCAUCCCAUCCCUCUUUCUUCCCCUCCCCUCCCCUCUACCUUCUCACCUCACUUCAAACUUAUCCAUAUCUCUACUCUGGUUAUCAUAUGUCCACUUAGAUUAAUUGAAAAAAUUUCCUUGUGAUACUUUUAGCAAAUCGAACAAGGUUUGUAAGCAAACCUUUUUUAUAAUUUUUAUAGUGGUCACUGGUGACUAUAUGAUGUGCAAAGUCAUUUUUCUUUAUACCACUUUUCAACUUUGUGGAAGAAAAAUGGGGUUACAAGUUUUAUGUUUAGAAUAAGGUGAGAAAGAGGGAUAAGGUGUUAGAUAUUUAUGGAACAGAAAGUGCACCGUAUCAUCUAAGUAAUAAAGUCCGGUAAAAUAUGUGGAUAUCGUCUUCAGAGAGCAGAGUAGAUUUACACUAAUUACUACAAUAAUAAAUUGAGUAUAUAUUUACAAUAAUGGUUUUAUGAAAUUUUGUAAUUGCUUGUGUAAAAUCAUAAAUUGAACUAAAAACAAUUAAAAUAAAUUGGGAUCGAAACGCCUUGUUCUUUCCCAUUGAUAUGCAUGGAUUCAAUUUCAAGUAACUUCUAAAGUUACUGAUUCAGAUGCACAUUUCAUUCAAAUCAUUCACAUCAAUCCAUUGAGUGUAAAAUCCUUAGAUAAUCACUCAAAUAUCAAUUCCUUGGAUAUUUGACCGAUUAACUAGCAUUAAGUUCCAUGUAAAAGCAAUUCAUGCAUCAUUGUCCAUUCCUAGAGCAAUGAUGUAUGAAAGAAGAUGAUACAGGUUUGGUAUCAAGUUUAACUUUUCAAUUAAACUUGAACCCAAGAACAAGAAAUUAGUAGCAAAGUAAAUUCAUGCAUUAAGAACGAGAUAAACUUCUCAAAAUCAAAUAACAAUUACAAUAGAAUCGAAUCCAGGAGUACAAAGGUUAGAAGAUUACAUUUCAAAACCCACAAUAAGACCUAUUCACUCAUCCUCGCCUUUACAAUGCUUGAAUCAUGAGAUUAUAAAAGGAAAUACGAAGUAUAAUCGUUUCCAUGAUUUCUAUCUUAAUCUCCCCGUGUUUCUCUCUAUUUUCGUGCCAAAAAUGCUUCAGAAUUGUUUCGAGAACUUCCUAUGCUGUCCAGAACUGCUUAUAUCAAGUUCCAACUGCUAUUCUCUCGCUCAAGCUAGGGAUUCUCGCUUGAGCGAUAGAAAAUGUCAUUCCCUCACUUGAACACUUCGCUUGGGCGAGGUGCCCUCGAUUUGGCGAGGGAAACACAGAGCCUAAUUGAAUUUUGGCCCCCAAUUAUCGCUUGAGCGACAGUCCCUUGCUUGGGCGAGGGACAACAAUAUUUUCUGAUGAUUUUCUUUUGAAUUAUGGCUUGAGCGACCAUUUCCUCGCUUGGGCGAGGCUUGUGUUGUUCAGAAAAUCAUUCUUCUCUUUUUUUCUCCUUUGUUCAUCAUUUCAUAACCUUUAAUCAACAAAACAUAAUUAAAUUCCUGAACAAUACAAGAUUAACUAAGUUAUGAGGAAUUGUACGCAAUUAUAGCAUAAAUACGUAUUACGUGCCCCAAAAUCAUAUACAUUUCCUUAACAAUAUGUCACUUAACAAACUCCCUCCAACCUAGAAUCUUGCGUGUCCUCAAGCAUAGUAACAAAGUGCAGUUUGGUUCAAAGUAUAUGGUUUUUAAAAAAUAAUCAUUCAUCCAAUCAUGGAAUGGCUAGAAUCAUUCACAUACUAUUCACAAAGACCUAUUUCAUGAUCAAUCAUAGUGGACCAAGUUCCAACUAAUAACAGAAUGCAAAUGCAGUUCAAUUUCAAACAGAAUAGCAAGAAUAACUACUCAGUUUAAUCAAAGGAACUCUAUCGAUCUCACAGGUUAUGUGUUUCACUCAUCUCUUUGUUGGACCCCAAAAAAUUUGACUUUGCCUUUUAGUUUAAUCAAACCAUGUACACAAGUUCAAUCAUGAAUCUUAAGGACUUUAUCAGGGUUGUAAUGAGGCCUGGCUACAAAGAAUACUGGUUUUUCUAGGAUUCAAAAAGGGAAGUAUACCAUUAGUGCAUACUUACCGUUUUUUCUCAUGUUUCCUUUCCAAUUUCUUUGUACCAUGUUCUUUUUUAUCAACCAUUGGAUUCUCUUUCUUCAACCGACUCUUUUCUUUUGAGUCACUACUUUCUCACAUGAUUUAUUUUUCACUUAUUUGUUUCUUUUCGUUGCUUCACGCUUUACCAUUUAACACAUGGUUGAAGAAAAAGUCUUUUUGAUUUCACUACCCUCAUAAACACAGACUUCAUUCACAUUGCCCAACAAGACUCAUAUGCACUAAUGAUCUCUCUCCAAGGGUAUAGGAAUUGAUACAUUUCGAUGUGGCUUUGGUGCAUAAUUUUCACACAAAAAAUUCAGCUCAAAGGGGCUAACAAAAAUCAUAUUCAUAAUUCAUCCGGGUAGGCUUUCUACCUCUAGUUCAACUAUCCUAAACUAAGCAUUAAUCAUUUCCCUGCUUAAUGACAAUAAUAAAUUAGGCAAAUUUCAUUGGUGAAAUCCAGCAAAGACACUUAUUUGUGUUUGGGUGCACUCUCUCACCCGAUUAUAGGCUUUGUCCUUUAACUAAACUGCUUAUUAUUCAACCUAUUCGGUAUGUGUCUGAAUCAAUAUCUACAUCUUGAAAUAGUCAAACCUUAGAACCUUAAUCAUUCAUAGUCACAUAGUCUUAUCCCAAAAUUUCAUUCACAUGUUUCUAGCACAACACAAUUGGACAACAGUAAACACAUUUAACUAGACAUAAUUUCACUAACUAUACAUUUUGUUAUUGAACUGGAAACAAACAACAUACAAUAGCAAAACACAUAACAAUUACUCCUACAUCAUAAACAUACAUUCUAAACAAUGGUCCUAAACAUACAUCCUAAACAAACCUACACAUACAUCCUAAACAUUGAAACAUAAACAACAACAAAAUAAAGGAACCAGUUUCCGCCUAUAGGCUCAUCAGAAUAUGAAAUCCAUAUCAUCAUCUUCAUGAUCAUCACCCUCUACGGCUGUAGCUCCAUCUCCAGUGGUUCUAGAAGGUUCUGCCCCCUCCGGAAAGAUAGGCCUGACCCUAGGCCAAGGGAACUGCUGGAUAAAUGUAUCUGUGGAACCUUGAAAUUGGUUCCUCGGAACCAAGACUAGAAUGCAACAAACAUCCCUUGGUGAUGGAACACCUGCCCUUGAUGGAUCAUCUCAUUUUGGAGCUCAAGGUGCUCUGUAUACAAUCAGAGUUGAUUCAACUGAUCCUAGAUGGGUAGCUCUUGAGAUGGUGCCGAGUGAGGCAUAUGUGGUUGUUGAGGUGAGAAUGGUGGUUACUGAAGUGGAGAUGACUACUGUUGAGGUGCCUCUGGCUGAUUAGACAUGUCACCAUGUUGAGGACCAGACUCCUCUUUGUAGUUAUGACUGAUGUACUGCAAGGUGAUCAUGAGUUUGAUCUUCUCAGUUCUGUUAACCUAAACCCCUUGCUGAGAAUAGAAUUCAGUGAUCAAUGAUGGGAACCCAAAGAUCCCUUCUUUCCAGUCCUAACUACAGUCUUGGACAUCUCUCACACAAUGAUCUUAGCCACAUAAAUCGUCAUACCUUUCAAGAUUGCAUAGAUGAGACAAUAAUCAGAUAGAGGCACAUAUGACACGUGACUGUUUGGAAUCACGUUGUAGAGCAGAAAAAUCAUGUAGACCUGAGCCAAAGUGGUCAUAUGCUUCCUAUAGAUCCAGAGGGGUUGUCCAUCACUAUUGGUGUUGUAUGACCUUCCAGCCAAACAUAGUAGUGUAGUAGUGCCUCUGUUAGUGAACUCACUAUUGGAUUCAGCAUAAUAAUACUAGCACAAGCCACCCUUCUAUGCCUCAAAUGAGUUGUUCAGCAAGUCAUUGACAGCGUCUCUAUCAAACAGGGUGAUCUUCCCCUUGACCCAAGACUUGUAGGCAAUUUCUUUCCCAUUUAGUGAGUAGGAAUUGACAUAGAAUUCACGAACGACAUCAGGGUCGAACUUGUCAUUUAGGGUAGCCAAUGCCCACCAUUUCAGCUCAGUCAGGGGUGUUGUGAAAGUGUGGUAUUCAUCUGAUUCCAUUACCACCCUUCUUUCAGGAAUGAAAACCCAAUUGAGAAGAAGGGUGUAUCGCUCAUGUUUCCCCUUUAUUUUGAAUAUAGUACGGUCAAACUCUGAGGGGGGCUGUGAAAUUGAUGCUCCUUUCAACUUCUUAGGAGAGGGGUUAUUUUGAGCCAGUGUCUUUUUCCUCCUGUAAUACAACAAAACCACACAAUCAAUGACAUUACCACAAGCAACCACAUUGAACAUUAUAAUCACUCAUGAGUGUCACAAUUAUGAACUAAACUUGGGUUUCCCACUUAGAAAUGUGGAUUCUCUUGAUGAUGACACUUAUGGUUCCACGACACAAUGCAAAGCAACAACAAUGUAGCAUCAAGAGCGCCUAAUCUAUCCUAAAUAUGCCUAAAACAAGUGAAACUUAACACCAUGCACAAAUAAGAAGAUAAUAAAGUCAAGAAUGCACUUAAAUUUCGCUCAUGAUGCAAUGGUGGAGUGUGUGAGCUAGAUUAUGCAGAAGAUGUGAUUCAAACCAUUGGAUAGGGCACAAGAUAUGAGUUUCUCGUGUUCUUUGUAAUGGCGAUGUGAGGGAGUGAACCCCACAGCUCCCUAUUGAAAACGAAACUUGUGCCCUCUCGCCCAGGCGAGGGACUCUCGCUUGGGGAAGCCACCAAUAAUUGAAAGGUCUGUCAUCCUCGCCUAGGAGACCAAAAGACAGAGAGCAACCAAAUUAAUAUCGUCUGGGUGAGGCUUGUCUCGACUGAGUGAGGGACCUAGUACUGGAAGGUCACCUUCCUCGUAUGGGCGAGGCAUUUCUUGCCUGGGUGAGGGUUUUCUCGCCUGAGCGAGGAACAUGGUACUAGAAGGUCGCCUUCCUUGCUUGGGCGAGGGACCUGGCACUGAAAGAUCCUUCUCCUCGCCUGGGCAAAGUGUGCAUCGUCUGGGCGAGAAUUGCCCAUAAAUUCCUCUUUUUUUUACACACAGAUUACAAACUAAGCAAACGGAAAAAUAAAACUGGAUUGUCUUAUAGUUAGCGCUUGCUUAACAUCAUUAGCUCGUCGCCUGUUCUGUUACGUAUAUGAUAAGUUGAUGAUUGUGGUGAGCUGCUCGACGCCACCACCCAAGUAAGGUCUCACCCUCUGGCCAUUGAUUAUUCAGCUUCUCUGAGACGCAAGGUCUUGCAAUUUGAUCGCUCCAUGCGAUUUAACUUCCUUAAUUAGGAAGGGUCCUGACAAUUUAAACCUCAGUUUACCCAGAAACAACUUUAUUCGGAAGUAAACAACAACACACUCUGACCCACCCAUAAGUGUUUUUGACGGAUCUUCCGGUCAUGAUACAACUUCAUCUUCUCUUUGUAUAAUUUGGAGGAUUCAUAAGCAAUAAGUCUCAUCCCCUCCAAAUGUUGCAACUAAAGCUUCAUUUGGUCAUUUGCUGCUUUGGGAUCCAGAUCGAAGAACUUGAGGGCCCAGAAUGCCUUAUGCUCAAGCUCUAUAGGCAAAUGACACGCCUUCCAAUAUACCAGUUGAAAAGGGGAUAAUCCAAUGGGUGCUUUGAAUGCUGUUCGGUAGGCCCAUAGUGCAUCAUCUAAUCGAAGAGACCAAUCUUUCCUUGUAGUUGACACAGUUUUUUCCAGAGUUAUCUUGAUCUCUCGAUUGGGCACCUCUGCUUGUCCAUUUAUUUGCGGAUGAUAAGGUGAUGCUACCUUAUGUCGGACCCCGUAGUGUUGUAGGACCUUCCCCAAUUGUACAUUGCAGAAAUGUGAUCCUCCAUCACUAAUAAGUACCCGAAGUGUGCCAAACCGACUGCAUACAUUCCUCUUCAAAAACAUGGUCACAGUCUUGCAUCAUCCUUUUGUGCAGCUACAACAUCUACCCAUUUGGACACAUAAUCCACUGCCACUAGAAUGUAUACUUGUGCGCACGAUGGUGAAAAUGGUCUCAUGAAGUCAAUCCCCCAACAAUCAAACACCUCUAUUUCCUGAAUGUUGGUCAAUGGCAUCUCAUUCCUCUUCGAGAUCCCGCCCGAUCUCUGGAAUUUAUCAUACUACUGUGCAUAUUGAUGUGCAUCCUUUAAUACAAAAGGCUAGUAGAAGCCAGAUUGGAGGACUUUUCUAGUUGUCAUCUCUCCAUUAAAGUGCCCUCCGUAUGACGAAUUGUGAUAGUGUCAUAGGAUGCUCUUAGCCUCUUCUUUAGAUACACACCUCCUCAAUAAUCCAUCUGACCCAAACUUAAAAAGAUGAGGGUCGUCCCACACAUACUGACGGGAAUCUCGCAGGAACCUUUUCUUCUAGUGUCAAGUCAACUCUUCGGGAAUCACCCUUGCAACUUUAAAGUUAGCCAUGUCAGCAAACCAUGGCCUUUCCUAAAUCAAGAGAAGCUUCUCAUCAUAAAACUCACUGACUCUCUCACUAUUACCUCUUUAUUGACCACUCUCGACAGAUGAUCUGCUGCACAAUUUUCGCUCCCUUUCUUAUCCUUGAUCACCAAGUCGAAUUCCUGAAUUAACAAAAUCUAGCGCAACAAUCUCGACAUGGGAUCCAAUUUGGUUAACAUAUAUUUAAUGGCAGCAUGAUUAGUGAAAAUUAUAACUUUUGAGCCAAUCAAAUAAAAUCUAAAUUUUUUCAAAGGCAUACACUAUAACUAGUAAUUCUUUUUCAGUUGUGGCAUAGUUAACUUGUGACUCAUUUAAUACUUUACUACCAUAGUGUAUAGCAUGGAAAACUUUAGCCUUUCGAUGUCCUAGUACCAUGUCGACGAUAUAGUCACUAGCAUCACACAUAAGUUCAAAAUCAAGAUGCCACUCGGGCGCUAUUAUAACAGGAGCAUAAAUCAGUUUUUAUUUCAAGGUUUCAAAAGAUCUUACACAUUCAGCAUCAAAAUGCAAAACAAUAUCUUUAAUAAGAAGAUUAUUGAGUGGCUUUGAAAUUUUGAAAAAAUCUUUUAUAAACCUUCUAUAGAAACCUGCAUGUCCAAGGAAACUCUGAGUUUCCUUGACAUUAAGUGGUGGUGGAAGGUCCUUGAUGACCUCAAUCUUUGCCUUGUCAACUUCGAUGCCCUGGGAAGAGAUCUUGUAUCCUAAGACCGCUCCCCCAGUCACCAUGAAGUGACACUUCUCCUAGUUCAGUACCAUAUUUGUCUCAAGACAUCGUUGCAGAACGAUGUCCAAAUUUGCCAAACAACUCUCAAAUGACGACCUGAAGACCGAGAAGUCAUCCAUAAACCCCUCAAUACACUGCUCCACAAGAUCAGAAAAAAUAACUAACAUGCACCUCUGAAAUGUUCACGGUGCCAUCUUCCUAUAUGCGAAGACACCAAAAGGACAAGUGAAAGCUGUUUUUUUCCUAGUCUUUGGGAUCCAUAGUGAUCUGAUUAUAGCCAGAACAGCCAUCCAGGAAGUAGUAAAAUGAUUGUCCAACCAAUCUCUCAAUCAUCUGGUCCAUGAAUGGUAGAGGAAAGUUAUCUUUGUGAGUAGCCUGGUUCAACUUCUGAUAAUCAAUGCACAUACACCAUUUAGUGAUUGUUCUGGACGAGAUCAAUUCAUUCUUAUCAUUCCUAACCACAGUCAUACCCACUUCUUUGGGACCAUCUAAACUAGACUCACCCACUUGCUAUCAGAUAUAGGAUAAAUCAUCCCAACAUCCAAUAGUUUUAUCACUUCCUUCUUCACUACUUAAGUCAUAGUGGGAUUAAGACGCCUGUGAGGUUGUGCCACCGGUUUGUAAUCUUCUUCCAUAUGGAUCUUAUGCAUGCAAUAGGAAGGACUGAUUCUAUGCAAAUCAGCUAGUGUCCACCCUAUCGCCCCUGCAUUCUUCCUCAACACUGCAAUUGAUAGUUGUUCUUCAUCAAAUGAAAGGGUGCUGCUGAUGAUUACCGGUUUCUGCCCUCAAUAUUCUAAUAAUACAUACUUCAAAUACGAAGGAAUUGUUUUCAACUACAUAUUUGGAGCCUGAGAUGUCUUCUCUUUACCCAACUCUUCAAUGUGAUUAUGAUUAGAUACAACCUUGCGGGGUGCAUCCAACUCUACCAAACAUGUUUUGAUCAUUUUAUCCUCCUCCAUACUACUUCCUUCUAGGUCUCCCCUCAAUACCUUCUCCAAGGGACUACUUCUAUUCAAGUGAAUGUCAUCAAGCAUGAAUAAGUCAUCAAUGACAUCCACUCGAAAUUAGUGUUGCUUGUCCCUCGGAUGCUGCAUAGCUUCAAACACAUUAAAAUUAACCUCCUAGUCAUCAACAUCAAUAAUAACUCGGGAAGUCUUCAUGAAGGGUCUGCCCAAAAUAAGAGGAACCUUCUUAUCAUCCUCAAUAUCCAUGAUGACAAAAUCCACAGGAAAGACUAACCCAUCUACCUUCACCAAAGCAUCAUCUGCAACUCCAUAAGGAUACUUGACAGAUCUAUCAGCAAGUUACAAGGUCAUCCUGGUAGGCUUGAUCUCCAAAUCCUCAAUCCUCUUCAGCAUAGAAAGGGGCAUCAAAUUAAUGUUGGCACCCAAUUAAGCAGUGCCUUUUCCAUAGAUAAUUCACCAAUAGUGACUAGAAUAGUGAAGCUGCCCGGAUCUUUAGUCUUCUCAGGCAAAGACUUCUGAAUGAUAGCACUGCACCCAGCUUCGAAGGUCACUGUCUCUUCUGAGAACUUUCUUUUCUUUGUCAACAAGUCCUUCAUGAAUUUGGCAUAGAUAGACAUUUGUUCCAUCGCCUCCAUGAAAGAAAUGUUGAUAUGGAGGUUCUUGAAUAAAUCCAAGAACCUAGCAUAUUGUCGCUCAUUAUCUUUCUUGGAAGGUCUCUUUGGAUAAAGGAUAUCCUUCAACUGAGGUAGGUUACCCUUCCUUCUAUUAUUGUUCUCCCUUUUAUGAUCCUCAUUAGUAGCUACCCCUUCCUCAUCUUGUAUCACAUCACCCUUCUAUGUCUCUCUGAUUACCUUCUCUGAUUUUCUAGCUUUAAUCACUCUCAAAACCUCUUCCUUAACUGCUAAGUUCUCACUAAUACCUCUACCAAUGACCUUACCACUUCUAGUAGUGAUAGAUUUAUAGUGUUCUUUUAAAUUUGUUUGAGUGUUGGCGGAGAAUUAUUGUCGAUCUGAAUUCUGUUCUGCCAUUUUUAUGGUUUGAAAUGGAGACUUGCAUGAAUUUCUUUAAUGUCUCUUCCAACUUUGUCUGCCUCUCAUGUAAUGGUGGAUGUAGACCUUGCUGAUAAGAUGGUUGAUAAGGUAGUUGCCUGUUAGAUGGUCCUGCUUCCUGCCUCCACCCAAAAUUCUGGUCCUGGUUCUGGUUUCCCCUUCAACCCUGUGAAAACUGAUUAUUGAACGAAGGGUUGUUAGGGAAAUUACCCUGAAGAGGUUGAUUGUUAACAUACAGAACCUCAUAUUCUUGUGUGUUGGUAGGCAUUGAGCAAUGGCCAGUAACAUGAUCACCCCCACAAAACUCACAGUGUAGCACUUGUUGAUGAACUGAGGGAAUUUGUACCACAUUUAAUUGUUGAGGCAACUUGGACAUUUACUUUGUGAGUGCCUCAAUCUGUUGUGUCAGAAUCUUGUUCUGAGCCAGAAUGACAUCAGAAGCAUUCAAGUCUAACACAUAUCUCUUAUGUAUUGUCCUUCUAUUAUGCUGAGCUUGCAUAUCUGUAGCAGAUAAUGUAAUAAUAAUUCUAGUAGCUUGCUCAGCAUCCACUGUCAUCAUAGUGCCACUAGCUGCGACAUCCAAUAUCAUCUUAGUCUAUGGCUUCAACCCAUUACAGAAAAUAUUUAGUUGGUCAACAUCCUCAAACCCAUGGUCGGGACAUUUCCUCAGCAACACUGGAAACAUUCUCAUGCCUCAUAAAAAGCUUCUUCUGCACCUUGUCUGAAUGUUGAAAUUUCAAACAUCGCAUGCACAUACCUCGGCGGAGGAAAAAAUCUUGUCAAGAACUUUGUUUCCAAAUCGCUCCAAUUGGUUAAGCUUUGGGUUGGAUGUGAUUUUAGCCAUUCCCUAGCUUCACUAAGGAGGGAAAAUGGAAAUAGCAUCAUGUAUGCAACUUUCCUCUCAGUGUCAGAAUACCCAUAGUAGCCACUAGCUCAUGGAAAUUAUCCAAAUGAGCAUAUGGAUCUUCAUAAUUCUUGCCCGUGAACUGAUGAGCACUGACUAUAUUCAAAUAUGCAGGCAUGAUUUCCACUGUCCUAGCGGUGUGUGGAAUCACAAUGCUAGAGUAAUGUCGAGGACCUUGAUACAUGGCAUAAUCACCUAAUGUCCUCCAUGGAGGAUUAGGCCUUGGGUUAUUAACAGCAACAUUAUUGGUAUUCUUCAUCUUCUCUAAAUGAGACUCUGAAUUUGUAGUAGGUUCAAAGCUACAUUGUGCUUCCUGAGAACCUGGUUGUCGCUUCUCUUUUGCUUUCUUCCGGUUACAUUUAGUAGACUUCUUAAUCUCUGGAUUGUAUUGUAGUUGCUCUUCUUUAGAUUUACCUCGCAAAAUCAUAAAUAAAAAUACUACAACAAAUGUUAGCACAAGGGUUUACUAUACUACAACGAAUUAAAGAAUAACUAUGUACAAAACUCAAUAAACUUUAUAAAGAACUAAUGUAAAUCGCUCAUUACUCACCAGAAGCGGCGCCACAAACUUGUUAGAUAUUUAUGGAACGGCCUUAUGGAGCAGAGUAGAGUAGAUUUACACUAAUUCCUACAAGAAUAAAUUGGGUAUAUAUUUACAAUAAUGGUUUUAUGAAAUUUUGUAAUUGGUUGUGUAAAAUCAUAAAUUGAACUAAAAACAAUUAAAAUAAACUGGUUUUAUGGCUUGAGCGACAAUUUCAUCGCUUAGGCGAGGCUUGUGCUGUUCAAAAACUCAUUCUUUUUUUCCUCAUUUGUUCAUCAUUCCCUAACCUACAAACAACAAAACACAAUUAAAUUUCUGAACAAUACAAGAUUAACUAUGUUAUCAAGAAUUGUAUGCAAUUAUAACAUAAAUACACACUAAGUACCCCAAAAUUAUAUAAAUUCCUUAACAAUUUGACACUUAACAUAACGUGGGGAGGAAGGAGAGAAACAUUAUUAUUUUUUGUUUAUUAAAUUUAAAGUUGAUGUUCAUGUUCUAUUUAUUAUUUAUGGAAUGAGGGAAGAAAGAAGAGUGGUUUGGAUGAGGUUGGAGUGAGUGAUGAGAAGGUAGGGGGAUGGGACCAGGAAGAAAGGGGCAUGGAGUGGAGAGGGAGGAUAACUGGAUUAAUUUUAAUUUUGAUGUUACUAAAAUCACCCUAACAAUUUUUAACAAAUAUACCUCAGUGAUGUUUCUAACUAAAAAUGGAGGUUCCUGUGUUAGCAAACCCCAUUAGUUUAAGAGCAUUUCAUCUAAAAAUAUAAAAGAAAUAUUUUGAAUAACACUUCAAUUUGAUCACACUAAGAUUGUCAUAAUUAGUUUGAUCGUUAAGAUUACAUAAAGUGUAGUUCCAUCUCUUAUUUUUUCAAUCUAAUAAAUUUGGUAUUUUGUGAAAGAGAAAAAUGAUAUAUACACUGAAAGAAUAUAAAUUUUGUAUAUCGUGAAUGUAUUAUCCACCAUUUAUUUUUAAUGAACUUUGAUUUAUCAAAAAAUAAUAUAAUAAUUGGAUAAAUUUUUAUAGGUAUGUAAGAUAUUAUUCUUUUGUCAGAAUAAGUAUAUAACAUUAAAUAUAAGUUUACAACAUUAUUUCUUAAUUAUUGGAUACAUGGAUUUUAGAAGCUUAUAAGUGACUAUAAAUAUAAAACGCUGUUUCUCAAUUAUUGGAUACAUGGGUUUUAUAAUCUUAUAGUGAAGGUUAAUUCAUGUUUUAAAUGCACUCACACAUCUCGACAACACAAAAUAAAGUUAUUAGGUAGUCUAUAUACAAAAAUAAAACCAAAUAAAGUGACUAAGUAUUACAAUCCCAUAAAAACUAAAUCUAGAUUUUUUAACAUUAAUUACGUAAGUUUAAAUUCAACAUGAAAAUAUCGAAUUCUAAUAUCAAUGUAACAUUUGUAGGUUUCCCAACAACCCCAAGUAUCAUUUACCUAAAGAUGAAAAGUUCUACGUAGAAACAGUCAGGUCAGAUUUUACCUUAAACAUGUCCAGCCUAUAUCGCAUAUACGAGUUUAGGGUUGACUUAUUAGCCUGUUAAUUUUUUUUCAAAGCCUAGGCCUGACUUGUUUAAAAGUCUAGUCUGAUCUAUUAACCUAUUUAAAAGUUUGUUAUAGUAUAUAAUAUUGAAAUAUGUCAUCAUGUAUACAUUUAAAUAUAUUAAUAUUCCUACUUUUAAUUAGACUUUUCUAACCCUAACAAUUAAUUAUAUUUUUGUAUACAAUUUUAUAUUAAAAUUUAAUAUAUAUAUAUAUAUACAUUAUUUACUUAUAUUAAGAUUGUAUAAUAUAAAUAUAUUGCAUAAUAUAACUAAAUAGGCGGACAUGCUAGGCUUAAUAAUCAUUUUGGAUUACCUAAAGUUUGGCUUGUUAUAGUAAAUAUGCUUUUCAAAAAGUCUGAGUCUGACCUUUUUAUGAAAAAAACCUGGUCUGGCCUAUUAUAGGUCAGAUAAUAGGCUCCUGGUAGACGGACCGACCUGUUUUCACCCGUAAUUGUGACCCUUCAUUUGUUAGAGUAGAAUUAGAGAGAAGAAAAAAUGAUGUGAGAGAGUUUGGAGAGAAAUAUAAAUUUUUCCACUUUGAUUGCCAAGAGAGAAAGAGAUGAGAGAAUUAAAAUUGUGCCACACUCACUAUAAAUUUUUUCUCUUCAAGGUUGGUUAAAAAGUGUGAAGAGAAUACUGAUUUUGCAAAAAAUAUCACAAUUAUCCUUCAUUUUUUCUCUACUUUUAAUUUUAAAUAUUAACAUACACAAGUCUAUUUGAAUAUAAAAAUAAUAUUAAUUGAGAAUAAUUAAAAUUAUUUUAUAAAAUUUAUAAUUUAAAAUUAAAGCUUUUAUUUUUAAUUAAUAAUAGAACAAAAAAUCACACUUUUCUCUAUUUUUGGGAUAUUAUUAUCCUUUGAAACAUCAUAUUUUUCUUUUCACUUUCUAUUCAACUAAAAAAGAGUGAGAUGGAAAAUAUCUCUCCAUUUUAUAUUACAAAAUGUAUUAUUUCUCUUUCUCUUCUUUCUAUUUCUACCCACUUUCUCUCUUCUAAUUUUUUCUUAUCCAACCAAAUAAAACCAUAGGUAAUAUAAUAAGUUGAUACUCUUGCUCAUACAAAAAAAUUCACUUACCAAUACUUAUGUCAAUAAUAAACAUACUACCCUUUUUGAGUUACAAGAAACAUGGAUAACACACUGCUUCAUCACUGGUAGUAUAUAAUAAUAAUAAUAAAUAAAUAAAAUAGUAAUUUUAUAUUAUAAUUAACACCCGCCAAUUUAUUAGGAUUAGACGAUUUUUUACUUAAGCUAAAUAAACAAGCUUUUGACAAAGCCUACCUGGUCUUUUCUUCAGGCCAAUAAUGAGCCAUGUCUUGAUGGGUUGAUUAUCCAAUUUCCACUACUAUGAUAUACAAAUAAAACAUUUCAUGAUAAGAAUUAUAACUUCAACUUUUGUAUUUUAAAAAUCUCACUCCAGUGAUUUCAUAUAUUAUUAUGGUAAAAUAUAAACUCAAGUCAUAAAAAAUCAAAAGUUUUAAAAUUGCUAUAAAAUUAAAAUGAUUUUAAUAGUCAAUUAUAAUACAAUUGGUUUUAUAAUUUUUUAUGUUUGCCAAAAAAUGAUUUCAUUUUUUUGAGCAAUUUAGGAAUUACUUUUAUACAGGUAAGUAAUCAUGAAAUUGCUAAUAAUAUUAAAAGGAAGAGAAACAUAUAUGACUAAAUAUAAUGAAAUUGUUGAGAGAAGUAAUAGUAAUGUGCAGAAUUUGUCCGAUUCCCCAUCUCCUCAUCAAGAAAAAAAAUGAAAGAAAUUAUAUGUUUGAAUUGCACAUGGAAGGAAUGCUCCUUUAUGCAUAUUCCAUUACCUUAAUAGAAUAUAUAGCAAAAUAGUUUUCUAUUUUUAAGAAUAGGAUGUUAGUCUCUAAGUUAUUUAGGAGAUUCUAAAGCUUGGAGUGAAAUGUUGUGAUGAUAUCUAUUUUAAGUUUUUUUUUUUAUAAUAAAAUAUUGAGAAUAAAAUAUAUUUUGGUGUAAAGAGAUAAAUUAUCUCAUCCAGACAUUAAAAUCAUGAUAUAUGUCUUACUUCAUAAUUUUUUAUAAAAAUAUUUCUAAAAUUUAACAAAAUAAUACACAUAUCAUAUUUGCGGGAUGUUAUCAUUUAUUCUACUACCUACUCCUAAGAAAAUUGUACCCAUGUUUUGAACAUUUUAAAUUUUGGUCUCUAAGGUUGGAUCUGCAUCAAUUUGAAAAACUAUAAAACCACCCACUUAAUCUCUAAUUAAUCACUUUAAAAAAAAAUCUCUAACUACUUUGUUUCUCUCUCCAUAUUCACAUGAUAUCAUAUCUAUAAGCAAUAAUUAAGGAGAUUCUAAUAGAAAUUAUCUAUACAUGUAAAAUAUCAAGAAAAAGAAACUAUCUAAGUUGAUUUACAAAGGUGAAAUGCUAAAUAUUUGAUUAGUUACAAAAUUAUUUAAAAAGCACAUUCUUUAUCAUAAAAAAAAAGAUUUAUGUAAUUUAAUCUAAGAACAGCUUUUACUUUUUUUAAAUAAUUAAAAAAACUUUCUCUAAUUAUAAAUAUCCCUUUUUUUCUCAUUACUUCAAUUACUUUCUUCACUACUCUUUCAUCUUUCAACCAUGGCUAACCAAUCUGAGUCUUCAGAUUCGUAAGUCUCUUCCUUUUCACAUCCCCAUUCAUGUUUCUAUCUUCAAUUUCAAUUACUUGUUUUCAAUUUUGAUUUUUAUUGAUUCUACUUUUUUGUGUUUUCAGUAAGGGAUCGAAAAGGGAUUUCAGCACUGCGAUCUUGGAGCGGAAGAAAGCGCCGAAUCGGCUCGUUGUUGAUGAAGCUAUCAACGAUGAUAACUCCGUCGUCGCGCUUCACCCUGAUACUAUGGAGAAGCUUCAGCUCUUUCGUGGUGAUACUAUUUUGAUCAAGGUAAUUUGGUAUUUUAAUCAUAUUAGGGUUUUGGGUUGUGUGAUUGUGGAGUUGAAUUGAAAAGGGUUGUGUUUUUUUUGUGUGAGCGCGAGGGUUUUGUAAGAUAAGACUAUUUCAUUCAAGUUGAUUGUAUUUUCCACAGAGUUAGGGUUUUGAAUUGUUGAUUGUAAAAUAGAAUUGAAAAGUCUUGGUUUUUAUGACGGUUUUGAAUUUAAGAAAGGCUUAAUUAGUGAUUAAAAUAUAUUGAUUUCCUUAUCUGCUGUUUGAGUUUAGGUUCAAAUUUCAUUGACUGUUGGGUUUAAUCAGACCCAGCACUCUUGAUUAGAAAGAUUCGAUGUAAUUUUAAUCAUAACAUUGUGGCUCCCUUGUCUCUUAACUUCAGUGGUAAUCUUAUUGUUAUAGGGUUAAGAUCUUAUUUGGUGUUGACUUACCUAAUAAGAGAAAAUCUUGUGUAGUGAAUGAUUUUUGUUGUUAGCUUUCUAACUUUCUUUUUUGGUAAAAAUUUUUCAUUUGGCGCAAAAGAUUGAAUUUGUUCUUUGCUUACAUAUUAGAUAUGCUUGUUGGUAUAAAAUUGUAAAUGCUAUGAAAGAUGUGGGGGCAAUUUCCGUUAAUGACCAAUAUUUAUAUUUUAUUUUUAGUUAUCAGUUUUUUGGUUGGAAAAUGCAUGGUAAUUGUAACAGCAUAGCACUCCUCUUUAAUUGUUUGUUUUUUGGUUGCUUUUGAUCUUUAGGGAAAGAAAAGGAAAGACACAGUCUGUAUCGCACUUGCUGAUGACACUUGUGAUGAGCCAAAGAUAAGAAUGAACAAGGUUGUGAGAAACAAUCUUAGGGUCAGGCUGGGAGAUGUUGUCUCCGUUCAUCAAUGUCCUGAUGUCAAAUAUGGAAAGCAAGUCCAUAUUCUUCCCGUUGAUGACACUAUUGAAGGGGUUACUGGGAAUCUGUUUGAUGCCUACCUAAAACGUCAGUUACUAUUUUAUCGUUUUUCUUUGACCAUACAUGUGCUUUUCCUCCUUCUCUUAUUGAAUUUUCUUUCUUGGUAUUUGCCGUAUCAUAUCAUCCAUUCCUUUUUGGCUUUUGUCCAUAAAUUGUUUUGAUAAUGGCUAAAUUAUUUUUUAGAAGAAUACUUAGUUGUCAGCAUUGAAAGUUGAUGAUCCUCAUAAAUAGAUAAUGCACUUCCUGUGUUAUGGGAAGUUCAAUAUGAUGAGUUACACAUGAGUUCAUUUAUCUAAGUGUCUUGAGUUUAUACACGAAGUCCAUGCUUACUAAAUGAUGAAGAAAAUAGUCUUUUUCCGGAAAUAUUUAGUUCUGAGUUUAUAAUUGAAUACCAAGCAUUUGUGUAGUUUUAUUCCAUAUAUUCCAUAAGCUCUUGAAGUCUAAUGGAUUCAGGUCAUCUUACAACUUCGCUCUGUUAUUUUCAUAUUCAUCCUCUUAGCUCCCUGACAUAUGCUUGUUGAAUUCUAUUUCAUUAUGAAUACUAAGUCCUGCUUUAAUUUUGCAGCGUAUUUCUUGGAGGCAUAUCGUCCAGUGAGGAAGGGUGACUUUUUCCUCGUAAGAGGGGGGAUGAGAAGUGUAGAAUUCAAGGUUAUUGAGACUGACCCUGGUGAGUAUUGUGUUGUUGCUCCUGACACCGAGAUCUACUGUGAAGGAGAGCCUAUUAAGAGAGAAGAUGAGAAUCGAUUAGAUGAGAUUGGUUAUGAUGAUGUUGGUGGCGUAAGAAAGCAGAUGGCUCAGAUUCGGGAACUGGUUGAAUUGCCACUGAGGCAUCCACAAUUGUUCAAGUCUAUUGGUGUUAAGCCACCAAAAGGAAUUCUGCUCUAUGGACCCCCUGGGUCUGGUAAGACUUUAAUUGCCCGAGCAGUUGCAAAUGAAACUGGUGCCUUCUUUUUCUGCAUCAAUGGCCCUGAAAUCAUGUCAAAGCUGGCUGGUGAAAGUGAAAGCAAUCUAAGGAAAGCAUUUGAGGAAGCUGAGAAGAAUGCACCCUCCAUCAUCUUCAUUGAUGAGAUAGAUUCAAUAGCUCCAAAGCGGGAGAAGACUCAUGGUGAAGUUGAGAGGAGAAUUGUUUCACAGCUCUUGACCCUCAUGGAUGGGCUUAAAUCACGUGCACAUGUUAUUGUUAUGGGAGCUACAAAUCGUCCCAAUAGCAUUGACCCUGCUCUUAGGAGGUUUGGAAGGUUUGAUCGGGAGAUAGAUAUUGGUGUUCCAGAUGAAGUUGGGCGCCUUGAGGUUCUUCGUAUCCAUACGAAGAAUAUGAAGCUUGCGGAAGAUGUAAGAUUGAUUCUUUUCCCACUUGGUUGUGUUUUGAUUUGAACGUUCCAAAAUCUGACAAGUUUGAACAUUGUUCUUUUUUCAGGUUGAUUUAGAAAAGAUUUCUAAGAACACCCACGGCUACGUUGGUGCCGAUUUAGCUGCUUUAUGUACUGAAGCUGCACUUCAGUGCAUCAGAGAGAAAAUGGACGUAAUUGAUUUGGAAGAUGAUACCAUUGAUGCUGAGAUACUGAACUCAAUGGCGGUGACAAAUGAGCAUUUCCAGACUGCUCUUGGAUCAAGUAACCCUUCUGCUCUCCGAGAAACAGUGAGUAUUUUAGCAGUUUCUUGUAUCACUGCUAAAUUUCCUUUCCUUGCUUUCCCUUCCUUGCCCGACACCUUUCCUGAUUAUACCCCUUCAAACGUUGGUGUAUCUGUAACCUUGACUUUGCUAAUGAAACCAGGUUGUUGAAGUGCCCAAUGUCAGCUGGGAAGAUAUUGGGGGUCUGGAAAAUGUUAAGAGAGAACUUCAAGAGGUAACUUGAGCUCUUGCACAGAGUCACAUUACUGCAAUUGUUUAAUCUCAUCUGCCUUUUGGUGUUAAUAAUGUUUUCUUUUGCAGACUGUUCAAUAUCCAGUGGAACACCCUGAGAAAUUUGAAAAGUUUGGAAUGUCACCUUCAAAGGGGGUUCUUUUCUAUGGCCCUCCUGGUUGUGGUAAAACCCUUCUGGCAAAAGCUAUUGCCAAUGAAUGUCAGGCUAACUUUAUCAGUAUCAAAGGUCCUGAGCUACUGACAAUGUGGUUUGGAGAAAGUGAGGCUAAUGUGAGGGAAAUUUUUGACAAGGCUCGUGGUUCUGCUCCAUGUGUCCUAUUCUUUGAUGAACUUGACUCUAUUGCAACUCAGGUUUGUACCAUACAGUAUGCUGUGAUUUGGACAUCAGGCAAAGUUCAUUGAUUUCUGAAGUAUAUCAAUUUUCAUUUUAAAUAAUUAAAAUAUUGUUAAUUACCUUGGGGCAAAGACUUUGAUGUUGUGUAGAUAAUUAGUGUUCGUCUAGGCUACUGUAAUUAUCUGGACUUGUUAACUACGUCUAAAUCUAUCGCACACUUUGUCUUGCAGAGAGGCAGUAGUGUAGGAGAUGCUGGUGGUGCCGCUGACAGGGUUUUGAACCAACUGCUUACGGAAAUGGAUGGGAUGUCAGCAAAGAAAACUGUGUUCAUCAUUGGGGCUACUAAUCGACCAGACAUCAUUGAUCCUGCUCUUCUGCGACCAGGCCGUCUAGACCAGCUGAUUUAUAUCCCUCUUCCAGACGAGGAAUCCCGUUAUCAGAUCUUCAAAUCUUGCUUGAGAAAAUCCCCCAUUGCAAAAGAUGUUGACCUAAGAGCUCUUGCCAAGUAUACUCAAGGCUUCAGUGGUGCUGACAUUACUGAGAUUUGCCAGCGUGCAUGCAAGUAUGCUAUAAGAGAGAAUAUCGAGAAGGUACUGUUCCAUUUAUUAAUUAAGUUCGUUGACAAUUAUAGGAAUUGUUAUAUUGGAUUCAGCUUAAGCUAACCCAAAAAAAAAAACGUUUUUUUGGCAGGAUAUUGAGAAAGAAAGGAGGAGAAGUGAUAACCCGGAGGCCAUGGAAGAGGAUAUUGAAGAUGAAGAUGUAGCAGAAAUCAAGGCUGCCCAUUUUGAAGAAUCAAUGAAGUUUGCGCGAAGGAGUGUGAGCGAUGCCGACAUUCGCAAGUACCAAGCAUUUGCCCAGACAUUGCAGCAGUCAAGAGGGUUUGGAACUGAGUUCAGGUUUGCAGAUAAUACCAGCUCUGGUGCUGCUACCGCUGCUGCAUCUGACCCAUUUGCAAGUGCUGGUGGAGCUGAUGAUGAUGAUCUUUAUAGUUAGAUUAAGCUUGUGCUUUUGUUUUUAUUUAUGAACGGAUGGUUCUACCUUGUUUAUGUACUUCUCAUUUUCUUUCUGCAUGAAAUCUCCGAGGCUUACAUUGGAUUAUUGUCUUUUGGUGUCAGUCUCUUUUGAAACUUUGAAGGAAUUACUGUAUAAAGACAGCUUCUGAAACCAUUGUCCUAGUUCUUGGGUUCCACUACCUUUAUUUUUUAGCAAAAUACUCCCAUUUUACUGCAGAUCACACUCGUAAAAUUGAGAUGAAUUCCUUAGGUUCGGGUGGUCUCAUUCUCAAAUAAAAAUAUGGCACAUGUAUUAUUUUGAACAUGUUAUUUUAUAGAUUAUAAAGAGAUGAGAGUCAUAAAAUAUAUUUAUGAGAGGUUUCUCUUCCUCCAUUUCUUCUAAUAAUUAAUUUGCAAGUAGACUCUCUCUACAUUGCUAACCUUAUAAGCCUAUGAAUUACAAUAUUUUGAUAGAGAUUAAUCUUGUCCAAAAGGCUUUUGGAAACUGCAGCAUGGACAAAAAUAUAUUAUCUUUAUAGUCUCAAUUAUAAGAAGAAGAAAAAAACAGUUUUUGGUCUAUAAGAAAUUUAAGUAACUUUAUAGUUGUCUAAGGGAAAGAGAAGGAGAAAGAUAAAAGGGUUAGGAAGGGAAUGGAAAAACAAAGAAAUCCUCCUCCUUAUUUGAGAGUAUAAAAUUUAGAAGAGAGAGGGUAAACUAAUGAUAAUUUAACAAUAUUUUUUUUCUUUUAAAAAUGUAGUUAACAAUGAGAAAUGAACAGUAAUGUACAAUUAUAUAAUAUUACUAAAAAUAUUUAACUAUUUUAACAUUUUAUCUCCAAAAAAUCUCAAAUUCGGGGAACUAUUAAAAAUAGACACAUAGAGGGAUUUGGAAGGUUUGAGAAACCCUCCAAAACAUUUCCCUCUUCAUCAUCCAACUCCUAAACAAGAUGAAGGCUUUAAUACCGCUUUUUAUUGAAACAAUUUCUCAUAUUAUAUGCUGAACAAUAAUUAUAAUUACUUGUAAGUUUUUUUAUUAAAUGAAAGUUGACUAUUUAGUGCAGUCUGCUAAGGAGUAAGUGCUUCCUCGUCCUUGCCUAUAAAGGGAAUAUGACAAACUUGUCAAUUGGUAUAUAUUCUUCUAAUUUACAGGAUUUGAAGUUAGGUCACCAUUUAAGCAUUAUUUGAAUUUAGAUGAGGUUAAUGUACAUAUAGCCAUUUAAAUAUAUAAUAUAUAGUUCAAUAAUUUUCUAAGGUUACACUUACAGUCAAAAUACGUGUGUAGUGUACAUAUAUCCAUUCAUCCAACUACUCAUAUUUGUUAAAAAGUCUCCAAAUUCAGAAAUUUUAAAAUAAUUGCAUCCAAAUCCAAUCAACUCUCUUUAUUUAGGUAGACUAUACUAUGCAUCAAGCUCAUGUGUAGUUUCUGACUUUCUAGCAGCUUUGGCUGAUGAAAUCAUUUUCUGUCCAAUGACAAAUCUAUGUGCUUAUCCAUUCUCCUUUUCCUAACCAAUGCUGGAUCGUUUCUCAACAUAAUUUGUUCUCAAAACUAUUAGUCAUAACCCACCUAUGAAAUUCAAUAGAUAAAAAAGAUUAACAUUAAGGCAUUAAUCUGAUCAACAGAUACUCAAGAUGACUGAAAAUAUCAAAGGUUCGAUUCAUGAUAGGGGUAACCAGACAUACCAAAAGAGAUUAGUUCUUUACUCAUUGGGAGACGGGAUACCCUUGUUAGUACAAAAAAUAAGCAACCUUAAUGUGAACACUUAUUUUUGUCCGGCUCAUAAUAUAACCCAAUAAUAGAUUUUUAGCACCAGAAAUAUUAUAUAAAUAAAACAUUUUUAAUUUAUUUCGAAAAUUGUUAAAUUAAGUAAUUUGAAGUGGAAAGUGAAAUAAAAAAUAAAGCAACUAAGUGAAGGAAAACUGAUUGAUAACUAGAUUUGAGGAGUGCAGGGAGUAUGUUGGGGAUAAUGGGGGAGUUACCUAUUUUCUAGGAGUAACGGGUAGAGAGUUUAAUUUCUUGUCGUCCUUUAUAAAAACAAGACAUUUUUUACAAAGAGGGGGGAGACACAUUUUUAAAAGAGAAGAAAAAACGUCAGCACCAAUAUCUUCCUCCUCUCACCCAACAUCCUUCGUCAUUAAACAACCUCCUUCAACCAAAAUUCAUCUAAGGCCAAAAUCCUCAACAUCCUCUUCCAUCCUCAACAUCCUCUUCCAUCCAAAAUUCAGCCAUGAUCGGAGGAAGAGACCCCUUCUUCCUUUGCCACCGGAACUGCCAGAGUCGUGGUGGCGCUACAUCCAUCCGUCAAGCCACACCCAGUGCGGUCGCCACCUACAUGGGUGGUGCAAUAUCCAUCGCAGGGGGAGAGGGAUGAAGAAGAAGAAGAAGUUAUUCAUUGAAGGAGGGGUUCCUUUUCCUCUCCACUGUUGCCAAAGCCUAUUUUAAUAUCUAGGUUUCUUUUCCAUUUCAUUUCAUUUGUCCAGCUUUAUUAAAUAGUUUUUUUUUGGUUUGUUUGUAUUUGCAUUGUUAAAAUUAAUCGUGAAUGGAAUAAAUGGAUAAUAAAAAUGACAAUAAUCUAUACUAAUCUUAAUAGUAAUACAUUUAAUGCUGUCAUAUCUAUUUAUAAUGUGUUUAUAAUAGUGUUGUUAUGUAGUUAUUCAUUUACAAAAAAAUAAGUUUAAUAACUCAAUAGUUAAAUAUUUGAGAUAUUAUUAACAAAUUAUUUUAAGAAGUUCAUAGCGAGGUUAUAACUUGUAUUAAAUUAUUAUUAUUAUUGUUUGUAAAAAGUUUACAAAAUUUCGUGAAUUAAUCAAAGGAUGGAGGUAGGUUGUGGUAACACUUCUUCUACUCAUAUGGUUGUGUUACGCCGCUUCUCUUCACUCGAUUAAUUCCUAAAAUUCCAAAAUAAACAAUUUUUUUUAAUUAAAUUAACAAUCAACUAAAACAUUUUUCAUAAAUACACAAAACUAAAUAUUUUCAUUAAUAAAUUUUGUCAAUCACAUAAGGGCUUCUUUCUUCUCAAGUCAUUCUUCGGAUGAUCGCACUACGCUGCUUUCGUCCUUAAUUAAAAUAUUUCGUCCUCAAUAAAAUUAGUCACUAUUCUUGUAUUUAUUGAUGUGUAAAUUGAAACUUCAAGCGAGGGCUGAAUCAAUUUCACCUCUAUGCACUUUCCUCCUUCUAAAUCCUCUAGUUCCCCUUCUCGCAAGAAAUUUACAUUCUCGAUCUGCUUCGAAGGUAUUGAAAGCCGAUUUUGUUGUUCAUUCAAAUCUGAAUCAAACAAAGAUUUAGUAAUCAGCAAAGUGGUUUCGUUGCCGCCCAUUUCAUUAAUCUUAUCUAUGAACUCUUGUGGCAAUUCAGAUGGUGCUGCUUCAACUACUACGUUAAAUCUUUGUCUUUUUUUGCUGCUGCUAGAUGCUGAUUGAGGUGGCUGAAACGGGACCCAAUCUUGAUCAAGAACAUCACCAUUCUCUGCAUCAUUGAUAAUUGCUGCAGAUUUGCCUUUCAAAGCUCUCUUUUUCUUCUCUUUUAUAAGAAGAUCUUCAUCAUCAACGUUGUAGUUCAAUUCAGCGUUAGAGGUGGCUCCUUCUUCAAUAGCAGAACACAUGAAGUUGAUGGGAUUCUUGGAAGUUGAUGGUAAAUUAUCAUCUUUAAUUAAGACUUCAUCUGCAUUGUUUGUGAUCGUUUUCUUUAGAUGCCGAUGAAACUUCAAGCUUGAAGAGGCUGCAAAUGAAGAAGCCAUGAAUUUGAUAGGUUUCUUGGAAUUGGAAACUUCAUCAAAACCAUCAUUAGCACCCUCCUUCACUAUUUUCAUUGUUUUCUUGUUGAACCUGAUCCUAAGGGAAUGAAUAGAAGAAGUUGUAUCUUGAUAAUGUAGUCUAGAGGCUACAUCAGCCAACAUGUUCAAUGCAGAACACAAUGGGUCAAGAUACAGUAAAGGGUUGUUAAUGGAGUCAUCACAAUCCAUUCUUACUAUCUCUUGCUUGGAUCUUUUUUAGGAAACAAGAGCAAAGAAUGUGAAAUGAUAUUUGGAGAGUGAUGAGUUUACAAUUUAGCAACGCAUAGCUUUCUUUUAUAGUUUACUAGAGGGGUAGAUUGGAUAUAUUUUUGUAUAUUUCAAAAUUAUCUUUGUAACAGGAAGUAAAAUAGAAACAAAUCUCACUGUUAUCUUUAUUUAUCAACAAAUCUCACUGUUAUUUUGUAUAAACAAAUCUUUAUGAUAUUUUAUAUACAAUGUUAACGAUAUAUUUUCUGUAAACAAAUCUUAAGGAUAUAUUAUUUAGAAAUAAGUCUUAAUCAUAUAUUCUUUUGUGAACAAAUCAAAAUAUCCUGUACGAUUUUGCAAGAGAGUGAGAUUAAGAGAACCUUCUCCUCGGUAAAAGUUAUUUAUUUUCCCAUACAACAAAGGAUAUAGAAUUUAUGUCUUUUAAUAUAUAAACUGGUGGAAUAAAAGGGUACCCAUUUACAUAGAGAGCACAAAGAACUUAGCCUAAUAAAAAUGUAACAUCUGAAAUACAAACUAUAUAGAUAAUUCUAUGUGCUUGUCCAUCCUUCCUCUUCUAAUAUAAGAGCAGUCAAUUCAAAAAUCAUAGUUCAUGAAAUUUGCAAUUGGGUCCAUCAUUUGUAGACUUACAGGUUCGUGGUGGACCAUAUAGAAAAAUACCCUCUCUUCAAGGUCAUUGUUCUACCCCAGUCACAUCCGGGCUAUCAUUUGACCGCCUUGGGUAACCAACACUAGGCUCCUCAUCUCUUUGUGAUCCGUCUCAGAUGGGCCCACUAGCGGCAGAUGUCAUAAAUGAUCUUGAUGUGACAUUAAUGCCUCUGACCCACCAUUUAAUGUACAUCUGACCUCGUCAUUAAUGUGCCGCUAACUCGUCCUCAAUGUCAUCUAACAAGCCGCAUGUGCAUUCCGUCUGCCCCCGACAAUUCGAUAAGAGCAGACAGGCAAGGACUACCAGGGUACGUCCAUUGUACCCGUUAGAUGUUGGCUAAUGGCAAGAUGCCAUCUCAACAUACCCCAAACUCUAUAAAUAGAGGAGACCACACAUGAAGUACAUUUAAUUCUCAUUCCCUCAUUUAUUGUUACACAUAUUGCUCCAACUUCUCUCUUAUUUACUCAUUUUAUCUCUCUAGAAUACUCUAUUGACUUGAUUGUCGGAGAACUUUUUCAGGAUACGUCCCCGACUGGUCCAAAUGACAUUCCGACCAGAUCUCCUGAUCUUUCAUACUCUACCGGAUAUUCAUCAUCGACAAUUCCCUCCUAAUAUAAAAGAACAGUCAUGUAUGAUCUCUUCCCUCUUGUAAUGCUCGAUUUGCGUGUUUCAAAUGUUUCUGCAUGCUCAAAACUAUGUGACUCAUCUUUAGAUGAUUUUUAACCAUUACUAGGAUUGUUUGUGUACAAGUUUAAUUGUCUAUUUUUCAUUGCAAUUUAUCUUCCUUCAUCCAACACAUGUUUGAUAUAUAAGACAAAGCUAUAAGGUCAAGGUGAGUCUUGUGAAAGUUGAGCUUAGUUAUAGUACCUUUUGUCAUCGGCUUAGUUAUAGUUUUACUUGCAGCCCAUCAAAGUUUAACAAUUUGGAACUCAUCUUUGAUCUCUUCAUUAUAAUCCAUGAGAUUAGUUAUAGUAUUUUAUUUGCUACCUUAGUUCCCCCAUCUACUCUUGUUAGGUACCACUCUUUUGGUCACUGAUAUAUGAAUCUUGUGUUGGUUGGUUUAUUAAUAUGAAUGACAAGAAGUAUCAAAUUAAAAGGUGAUUCUUAGUUCUUAAUAAUUCAUUUUCUUGGCGGGUUCCUUGAGAUUUAAGACAUGUGACAAAGAGAAAAGUAACUAGGAAGUGCAAAAUGUCAAAAUAUAAAAAAAAAUGAUGGCCUUUAUUAUUACUUGAAUGGCCUUUAGGGAUGGUAAUCAUGAAUUAUAAUUUAUUUUAUUAUAAAAUAUAAAUUAUUAUAACAAACAUACAUAGUGGACUAGGCUUUUUGAUUUGAAGCAAAACAAAACUAAACAGGACAUUUACUUCUAUUUUUAUUAGUUGUUGAAUAAAUAGACAUAAUUAUUCUAAUUUAUCUAUGUACCCAUAUACAAUGUAUCCCAUGCUAAAUUUAUCAUAUAACGUGUCUUCAAAAUUUUACUUGUCAAUUUUAUCCUUCAAAUUUUAACAAAAUACAUUAGUUACUGCAAUUAAAAAAAUCCUAUAUUUUCAUAAAACAAAUACAACCAAGCUUUUAUCCAUUUAAAAAAACCAUAUUAUUUUUACGAUUUAUAAAUUAUUUUUACAUUAAAUUUUUUGUUAUGUAUAAAUUAUUCUUACAUUUAAUUUUUAGAUGAGUGUAUCAAUUAUUUUGAUAUUAUAUUCUUUUAGUGAUGUAUAGUGUCAUUAGUUGAAAAAUACUAUAAACUUAUGCAACUUAAUUACAUUUUUAGAAGAGAAAAAUAUUGAAAUCAACCAAAAAUAUAUAUUAAAGGAAAUAAAAAAUAAAACUAUGUAGAUAAAUAAAUAUUGUAUAAAUUUUUUAGUCAUUUUAAAUUUCAACUAGUUACAAAGUUAAAUUUAUUAACACUUCUAGUUGAAUAAGCUAUCUAGAUAGCUAAAAGGUACAAGCUCAGGACUGUAAACUAUAAGCUUACAAUAUAACACACUAGUUUUUCACAAAGACCCGAAAGGAACAAGGAAAGAAAGCAGCAUUAGGUUAUAGAAUUUAAUAUCUAUGAAUGAUGUAAUUUUUUUUACACAAUCACCCUAAUAUUUAUUAUUCAUGGGUUAAUUAUUAUUUAUUUUUGAAUGAAAGUUGUUUAAAUAAAAGUUUGAUAAUGUAUCGACUCUAUAAAAAACUACACUAAUAAUACAUAGCUAUCAAACCACCAUGCUAUGAUGUGAGAAGAAUGACAUAUUUUUUAUAGAGUGUAAUAUCUAUAUUCUGACAGUGUAAAGAUUUAUAUACAACAUUUAUCAUUCAUUUGAAUUAAUUUUAUUCAAGAGUCAAUAAUAAAAAAAUGAAUGACAAAUAAUAUAGUGACAAUAUAAAAAAUUCUGACAGUAAUUUUCUCUUUUUCAUAAACAACUUUCCUAUAUUGUUGCCAGAGAGGUAAAAUAGUGACUAGCAUUAUCAAGUUAGAUAGUUAGUUAUUCAAAUAUCUUUUUAACAAAAAUAAAAAAAUCUUUUGAUAUCUUACUAUUUCCUUUGAUGAGUUUUGACAAAGUUACUCAAUGAAACUUCUUUUCAUUAUUUUAUUAUAUUAUUAUCCGUUCACAUAGUUAUUCUCACUUAAUUAAUUCUUAAUUAAAUUUUAGUAAUUAGAGAUUAAACACAAUAGUAACCAUAUGGAUUUUCAUGUAUAUAGCUUACAAUAUCUUUAAUAAUUCCAGCUUAAUAGUUGAUAAUAAAAACUUACAUAAAAUAAGGUUUAUUGGAAAAUAAAGUAUUGGGAAAGUACUAAUUCAUCUAUUCCAACAUAAGGGAAAAUAUUUGUGUAUUGUCAGUUAGAAGGUCGGUUACGUAAUUUAGAAAGAGACAAACUCAAUUUUUACUUCUCUCAAUUGAUUUAGAGUUCUUAUUAUGUUUUUUUGCAGUUAAAACGUAGAAAAAUAUCUUUUAAGUCCAAUCUGGAUAAGUUGGUUUUUUGAACUUGAAUUCUAAGUUCAGAAGUCGAUUAUGGAUCAGAGAAGGUAUAAGCAUCCUACCACCCAUAAUAAACGGUACCAUUACUAAUAACAUGAACUUUUAUAUCGUUAAAAAUUAUUUAAUUAAAUUUUUAAUUGCCAAAACAAAAUAUUUAUUUUUUAUAUUUGUAUUUGGCAAGAGCUCAUCUUGUUACUAGGUGCAAUAUAGGAGACAAGACUAUGUAUCAUCUUGUUACUAGGUGCAAUAUAGGAGACAAGACUAUGUAUCAUCUUGUUACUAGGUGCAAUAUAGGAGACAAGACUAUGUAUCAUCUUGUUACUAGGUGCAAUAUAGGAGACAAGACAAUGUAUUUUGGUUUGAAAUGGUUAGUUAGUUGAUUUGUUUGAUUGGACUAAAAUAAUGUUUAAAAUAUAAUGAUUUCAUUUUAAUGGAAUUGAUAGCAUAAAGAUGAUGUUGGUCAUACACUUUUUCUCACAUUAAGAAAGAAGUUAGAGACGAAUCGAAUCAUGAUUGUACUAUAAAAAUUUCAUAAAAUUCAUUUGGUAAUAAAAUAAGUAAUUAGAUUUAAGGUGAAAUUAAUAGUGAUAUUGGUUGUAGACCUUGUCUUUGCAUUAAGCAAGAGUUUAAAAACGACUAGAACCAUGACCAUACUAUAAAAAUUCAUAAAAUCCGAUUGGUAAGAUGUAAUUAAUGUGAAAAAGAUCUUGUUCUUGACCUUGACACGGUUUCGACGAAGAUGCCAAUGUCACUAAAAAUAAGAAAAAAGAAGAUGACCUUGAAGAUAUGGAAGAUAAGCUUCAAAGAUUAAGAUUGCAUAAGUCUUAUAUAUUAUGUAUUUUUAUCCUUAAUCUUUCAUGUAUACUUAGUCGCAAUGCUCAAAGUGAAAACCAUUUUUGAAACCAAGUGAAAACUUUAGAGUAAAAAAUAAUCAAUUUUCAAAAUGCUAAGUAACGGAUUACUUGACCCGAGUAACAAGUUAUUUGACCCGAGUAAUAGGUUAUUGGACCCGAGUAACAGGUUACUGGACUUGAGCAACAAGUUACUUGAACUGUAUAACAUGUUAGUGGGACUGAGUAACAUGUUACCCAAAAUGAGUAACAGGUUACCCAACAAAAAACAACACAAAUUAACCAAUUAAUCAAAGGAGUAACCGAUUACUCAGUUGGACAGAAUGUGUGGAUAAUCAAAUAUUGGUUCCUAUAAUGUACCAAAUUUUCAAAUUCAGAUUGAGCAGCUUUCAUCAAAACGAAUGAGUCUCAUUCCAAAUUUUUUUUACAUUUGUCUUGGGAUAAUAGUUGAUUGGAAGCCUAUUUAAAUACAGAUGACCCAAUUCGAAACAGAACUUACAUAGAACUUUUCACAACUUUCAUAUAAUCUUUCUAAAAAAAAUUUGCACCUUGUUCUUGCAAUUUGAGUUUUUAAAUUUCAUAUUUUUUUGAAGUUGCAACUAAGUGUUUUCUCUAGUUUUUCACACCUUAAACACUAAAGUACAUUGUGUACUUCUUAUAGAAUGAUCAUAAGAAUUGCAAGUGAUAGCAUUGCUAUAUCUUGUAAGGCAAUCCUUGCCAUAACAAAUUUCUUCAUUCAUCUAUUGUAAACUUUUCAUAAUAGGGUGUGUUGGAAAUGGAAAAAGUGUUGUUUAGAAAAAGAGUUAUUCUAAGUGUGUGAGACAUUGGUGAGUGUGUAAUGUACUUAUAAUCUCAUGAUAAGAUUUGUAAUUAGAACUCAUAAUAUUAGUGAAAAUUUAUUGUGCUACAAAAUAACUGAACAUAGUUUUUGGAGGAAACAAUAAGAACCAUGAGUGUACUUCCAUUUUUUAAAUAUUCAAAUUAUUCUUUAGUUAUUAUUUUUAUUGUUAAAUGAUACAUUUUUAUUAGGCUUUAUCUAUAUCUAUACUAUAUAUAAAGCUAAAACUACAAAUAACAACUAUGGUGUAAUUUUUCACAUUCCAAAAUUACAUUUUUGUAUCUCCUCCAUUAAUAUUUAUCAUAAACUUUUAAAUAUUACUUUUAUUUUUUUCCACAAUACAUCAUUAUUCUUCCACACAUUUUCUUAUUUAUAUAUUUUUUUCUUCAAAUUUAUAUUCAAUUAAUCUUCUUACAUCUUUAACUUCUACUGAGUUUCUAUGUAACAUUUCUUUAAAUAUGCGGGUCACGAAGUGCUUAUUAAAACAAAUGUUAAUGUAAUUUAAGAUAAAAUAUAAAUCAUUGUUUAAUAGUUAUGAUAUAGAUUCAUUUUAUUACAAUUGUAUAAACAAAAAACAAAUAAAAUAUAAAUAAAUAACAGAGUUAAAUAAUUCAAAAAAAAAGAAAAAAGAGUUAAGGAAAGGGGUAACCGAACAUGAAGAAAAGAAAGAAAGGGAACGAAAUCCCUAAAUCCAUUUCUUCUUCUGUCAAGAGUGGCUUUUGGUCUUCACGGAAUUUGAGUGAAGCUUUCAUUGUUGGAAAUUGAAGGUAAUGAUUUUGGUUUUCUUGUUUUAUAAGACUUUGGAAUCUGAAUGCCUACUUCUCUGUGUUAUAUGUUCUCUUUCUGAUUUUUCACCCUUUCUGUCUAUUGUGUUGUUUUUUCUUGUUCCGUGUGUGUUUUCUGUUUUUAUGUUGUGUUUCAAUAUGCUACCUCUGUGUGUUUUUUCUGUUCUUCAAUAUGUUACUCUCUCUUAUAUGGUUUCUCUGUUUUUGUUGCACUGCCUCCUUUUUUUUAAUAGCUGAUUGUGGUUUUACUCAUACUAGUUGGUGUACAAAGUAUCUAAAAUAAAAUAUAUUUGAAUGCUUGAAAAAUGUAUUAAAAAAUUAAUGAAUGAAACUUAAAAAGUAAAUACAAAAAUUGUGUAUAAUAGUUUGAUAUUUUUCAAACUUUGACAAUAGCCAUGCAUAAUUCUUCUUGGAUACGGAAAGACCAUACUUGAAUCCUAUCGUUUACUUUGAGUUGAUUAGCUUUUAUGACUUUCUUCCACGAUGAUGACCUCAAAACAUAGCUAGAGCUAACCUUGCCAUCAUUCUUGCGCAUAUUCCACUUAGCCAACGUGAGAUUAGUAACUUCGAGUGAGGGCUGGAUCAGUUUCACCUCUAUGCAUUUUCCUCCCUCUAAAUCAUCUAGUUCCCCUUCUCGCACGAAAUUUUCAUUCUUGAUCUGCUUCGAAGGUAUUGAAAGCCGAUUUUGUUGUUCAUUCAAAUCUGAAUCAAACAAAGAUUUAGUAAUCAGCAACGUGGUUUCGUUGCCGCCCAUUUCAUUAAUCUUAUCUAUGAACUCUUGUGGCAAUUCAGAUGGCGCUGCUACAACUACUAAGUUAAAUCUUUGUCUUUUUUUGCUGCUGCUAGCUGCUGAUUUAUUUGGAGGUGGCUUUACAGGGACCCAGUCUUGAUCAAUAACAUCAGCAUUCUCUGUGCCAUUGAUAAUUGCUUCAUUUUUGCCCUUCAUAGCUCUCCUUUUCAUCUCUUUUAUAGGAAUAUCUUCUUCAUCAUCCUUGUAGUUCAAUUCAGCUUUAGAGCUGGUUCCUUCUUCAAAGGAAGAAGCCAUGAAGUUGAUGGGUUUAUUGGAAUUGGAAGCUUCCUCAGAACCAUCAUUUGGACUCUCCUUCACUGUUUUUGUUUUCAUAUUGAACCUGAUCUUAAGGGAAGGAGUAGAAGAAGUUGUAUCUUGAUGGUGUAGUCCAGAGGCUACAUCAGCCAACAUGUUCAAUGCAGAACACAAUGGGUCAAGAUAGAGUAAAGGGUUAUUAAUGGAGUCAUCACAAUCCAUUGUUGUUACUAUCUCAGAGCUUGGAUGAUUUUUAAGGAACAAGAGGAAAGAAUGUGAAAUGAUAUUUGGAGAGUGACGAGUUUACAAUUUAGGAACGCAUAGCUUUCUUUUAUAGUUUACUAGAGCGGUAGAUAUGAUAUAUUUUUGUAUAUUUCAAAAUUAUCUUUGUAACAGAAAGUAAAAUAGAAACAAAUCUCACUGUUAUCUUUAUUUAUCAACAAUCUCACUCUUAUUUUGUAUAAACAAAUCUUUAUGAUAUUUUAUAUACAAUGUUAAUGAUAUAUUUUCUGCAAACAAAUCUUAAUGAUAUAUUUUUUAUAAACAAGUCUUAAGAGAACCUUCCCCUCCGCAAAGUUAUUUAUUUUCCCAUACAACAAAUGAUAUAGAAAUAAUGUCUUUUAAUAUACAAACUAAUGAAAUAGAAGGGUACCCAUUUACAUAGAUAGCAUAAAGAACUUAGUCUAAUAAAAAUAUUACAUAUGAAAUACCAACUACAUGCAUAGAUAACACCAUUUGUAGAUCCAUAAAAAACCAUACUAUACAACCAAAUCAAAACACUAAACACUCCACUCCUUCCAUUUAUUGGAACCAAAAUAGUAUGAUGUAUGAUGAAUGUUUAUUUUAGGGUGUUACUAAUUAAGUUGUACUUAAAUAUUUAAGCUUCAGUUGUACUUAAUUAUUUUUUUCUUCAAAUUAAUAUCUUAGAUCAUUAAUGAUAUCUACGUAAUUACUAAAUAAUGAAUGUAGUAUAUGUAUAUAAUGGAUAACUUCAAUAGUCAUAAUAAAAAAUAAUUUCAAUAGUUACAAGAAAUGAAAUAUUUGUAAUGAUUAUAAUUAUAUUACCUCUAUGUACUAAUAGAUAAAACAAUAUUAUUAAUAAAUUAGUCUCCAUAACUCAUGUUAGAGGGAUAAGAUUAAUGAGAUGGAGAAUUAAUAUCUUAGUUCAUUAAUCAUAUCUACCUAAUUACUAAUUUGUUAUUGUCUUAUUUCCUCUAUUGGCUAUAAAUUUUAAAUUAAAAACUUUUAUAUUCUAGAGUGGGUAUCCAGUUACACCAAUAGUAAGUUUAAAAAACGUAUUCCUCAUCAUAGCCAUCAAUUCUAUGGACAUCUGAUGAUUUAAAUCUACUCACUAAUUAAAAUCAUUAGAUUUCCCUAAAAUUAAUAGUUAUAAUGAGAAAUAAAUUUAAAAAACUUACUCUUAAAAUAAGUAAAUACUUCCCCUUCACUAUAUACAUUUAUAUACAUCACUCCAAAUUAAUGAAAGAAGAUUCUUUAUUUCUCUGUAGUACAUGUAUAUUAAUAUGAUGGAUAACUUCAAUAGUUAUAAUAAAAAAUAUCCAAAUUAAUGAAAGAAGAUUCUUUAUUUCUCUGUAGUACAUGUAUAUUAAUACGAUGGAUAACUUCAAUAGUUAUAAUAAAAAAUAACUCCAGUAGUUUACAAAAAUGAAAUAUUUGUAAUUAUUAUAAUUAUAUAUAAUUUCUUUUAUAUAGUUUGCUUUGAUGUUUCCUAUCUAAAACAAGAUUACUAGACCUAGAGAAGAUUACCUCUGUGUAUUAAUAGAUAAACAAAAAUAUUAUUAAUAAAUUAGUUUCGAUAAGUCAUGUUAGAGGGAUAAGAUCAAUGAGAUAGAGAGUUACAUAUAUCUUCAGCCUUUAUUGAUAAUGAAUUCUAUAAGAGUUGAUUUAGAUUUUUACAAUUUAUUUGAUUUCUAUUUUAUUUCAUUUUUAGGCAAAUCAAAGAGGAUUAUACAUUAAUUAAACUGGGAGAUAUUAAUGACAAACUUCAAAAACUUUUUUAUCUAAAUCCUAGCUCAAUUUUAUCAAUAAAUUUAAAUUAAUCCAAAAAUGGAAGGGCUUAAGAUGAUAAAUGUUAGGCUUGGAGAGAAUGAGAGAUACACAAUGUGAAAACCAAUGUGGAUCAAAAGUAUAUAGCAGAUUAGUGAGGGAUAAUAUUAGUGAUUUUUUUUCAUUUUUUUUAUUAAAAUGUUUAUUUAGUAGAAUUAUCCAUUUAAUUUUCCAUAGCAGAAUUUAUAAUUCUAAACCAAUUCCAAUGAAUUGGAAAUAUAAUUACAAUAGUUUUAUAGUAAAUAUCUCAAUUUGUGAAAUAAAAUGAAUUGAUUUGUAUUACUAAUAUCAAGGUUAAUUAAAUUAAAUAUUUGUUUCCUCCAAUUUUUACUUGAUUUUUAAAUAAUUUCAUACUGGUAAGUUUUAAGAUUUAAUUUUAAAAAACAUCAAAAUUCGGAAGAAAAAAAACUUAUAUAAGUAUGGGAAUCUGUUUAAUUAUUUAAAAAAAAUAUUACAUGUUUUAAUAUGAUAAUCUAGGCAUCAAAAGAUUAAUUUAAACAACUUUGAACUAGGGUAAGAUUAUUUAUAUAGUAGAUUGUAUCAAUUAUGGAUAAAAAAUCGAACUAUUUUCUUGUGAAAUUUGUUCAAGUAUCAUUAUCAUUAUUUUAAUUUGUUUAUAUUUCCAAUAUUAGGUUUGGUGUUUAGUAGUAUUAAUUAAUAAUAUUUGUAUUAAAUUAUCUAUUUGAUAUUAGUAGUUGUUUAGACAAAACAUUAAAACAAGUUUCUUUUCAAAGUUUUAUAUUAUUUCUAUGGUAGAAAGGCAAUUUUUCAUCCGUUCAAUUUUAAUGUAAACUUUUUAGUUUUCGAAUUUUUUAUAUUAUGUGUUAUUUUCUAAUAUCAACGUGUACUAACUUUUUUGUCCUUAUUAAAUUAAUUAAAGUGUAAUAAUUUUUAGAAAGAGUUACUAGACAUAUUUUAAUUAUAUUAGUUAGCAACACAUUUAAUAAUUGUUUUAUGUUGUAUUUAUUAUGUUAAAUGAUAUUUAAAAUGUGAGGAAAGAAGUAUUAAAUUAAGAUUAAUGAAUUCUAUUACAAGGUGUUGAGAAUAGUCAGUAUAAGGUCAUUAGAAGUGUGUUUAGUACAAUGUUGUUAUUAAGGUAUUGUUUGGCAAUGUGAGCUUGCAUCUUUUUGAGGAAUCUUGUAGUUUUUUGAUCCAAUCAAUAAGUUAUGAGAAUGAUACUGUAAACUAAAAUUGAAUAGGUCUUGUAACUUUUAAAAAAUAAACUUAUAGUGUUUGGAAUUUAAUUUUUAGAAGCUACUUGAAGUAGUGUUUUAAAAAUGAAAGUUGUUUAAAAAAAUUUGUUUACCAAUUUAAUCCUUCAAAAUUUUAAAAAUUACAAUAUUUUUAUAAUAUAUAAACAAUCAAGCUUUUAUCCCUCUAAAAAAACUAUUAUUUUUAUAAUUUAUAAAUUAUUUUUACAUUAAAGUUUUAGUGAUGUAUAAACUAUUCUUACAUUUGAUUUUCAAACGAGUUUAUCAAUUAUUUUGAUAUUAUAUUAUUUUAACGAUGUAUAGUGUCAUCACUAGAAAAAUACUAUAAAAUUAUGCAACUUAAUUGUAUUUUUAGGAGAGCAAACUCUUGAAAACAACCAAAACAUAUAUUAAAGGAAAUAAAAAAAUAAAUAACUAUGUAUCGAAAUAAACUACCUAAAUAAAUAGAUAAAUAAAUAUAGUAUAUAUUCUUUAGUUAUUUUUUAAAUUUCAACCAGUUACAAAGCUAGAAUUUACUAAACACCUCUACUUUAGUAAGUUAUCUACAUAGCUAGAAGGUACAAGCUCACAACUACAAGCUAUAAACUCACAAGGAUAAGCUAGUUUUUUCAAAGACCCUAUAUCUAGAAAAGAAAAAGGAAAGAAAGCAAGAUUAGGUUAUAGAAUUUAAUAUCUACUUCUGAUUUUUUUUUACACAAUCACCUUAAUAUUCAUUAUUCAUGUGUUAAUUAUUAUUUAUUUUAAAUUAAAAUUGUAUAAAUAAAAAAUUGAUAAUAUAUUGACUAUGUAAACAAAUUACACUAAUAAUACAAAAGUUUAAAAUCUAUGUACUGAGAGUGUAAUGUUUUUAAACUGUUAACAUAUCAUCCAUUAUUGUUUUGUAUAAUUUUUGUUUGAGAGUCAAAAAUGGUUAACAAAUCAAUGAUGAAUGAUUUAUUGAUAGUAUAAAGAAAAUAAUACAAAGAUAUCAAAGUUUCCUAUAUUGUUGCUUGAGGGGGAGAAUAGUGACUAGUAUUAUCAAGUUAGAGUAGUUAGUUAUUCAGAUAUAUUUUUAACAAAAAUACAAAAUCUUUUGAAAUCGUACUAUUUUCUUUGAUGAGUUUUGACAAACUUACUCAAUAAAACUUAUUUUCAUCAUUUUAUAUUAUAUGGGUUCUGAUACUUAUACUCACUUAAUUAAUUCUUAAUUAAAUUUUAGUAAUUAGAGAUUAAAUACAAUAGUAACUAUAUGGAUUUUCAUUUAUAUAGCUUACAAUAUUUUUUUUAAUUCCAGCUUAAUAGUUGAUGAUAAAAAAUUAAAAUAAAAUAAAGUAGGCUUAUUGGAAAAUAAAGUUUUCGGAAAGGUCGAGUCUUAGGUAUCACGAUCCGACUUUUAGUUGGAAGGUCGAGUCUAUAACUUAAGAAGAGAAAAGUUCGAUUUCUACCUCUUUCAAUUGAUUUAGAAUCGUUACUAUAUUUUUUACAAUUAAGACGUAGAAAACUCUAUUUUUUGUCAAAUUUGGUCUUUUGAACUUGAGUUAUGAGGACAUAACUAAUUAUGGAUCGGUACCCUUACUAAUAAUAUGAACUUUUAUAUCCUUAAAAAUUAUUUAAUAAAAAUUUUAAUCUCUAAAUCAAAAAAAUUUAUGUUUUAUAUUUGUGAAUGACAAGCGCUCAUCGUGCCUCCUACAUAUCCCUAAGUGCAAUAGGAGAAUCAAUACUACAUAGUUCUGUUUUGAAAUGGUUAAUUUGUUUUUUUGUUUCCCACAUGUAUCAUCGCACUGAAUGCAGUCUUACACGAACCGGGAACAUCCAUACGUAUGUGGGGAUAACUCUCUCAGUGUUAAGUGCCAAAUUGUGAGUAAAAUGUAUAUGAAUUUGGGGCACUUAGUGUAUAGUAAGGAUACAAAUUGGGUACAACUCCUAACAACUUAGUCUAAUUUUAUCUUGUUUAGGAAUUUACAAAUGUUUAUGUCAAUUGCAGAAUAAAAAGUAUGAAAAAGAGGAGAAAAAGUAGAAGUUUGGAGUUUUUGAACACUGCUCCCCUCGUCUGAGCCACAACCUCACCCAAGCAAGAAGAGAUUCCCUCGCCCAAGCGAGGGACUCUCGCUCAAGCGAUCGUUAAAGAGGAAAAAAUGUGACACUCUACCUAGGCCUCGCCCAAGCAAAAAGGAAGUCCCUCAUCCAAGCGAGGGACUGUCACUCAAGCAACGAAUGGAGAUGGAAAGGGCUGAUUCUCUGCAUGAUCAUAAACACCAAAUCUUGUAAAUACAUACUCAAUCUCAUUUCUAAAGAAUUGAUACAAAUCCACUUUGCUCUCUGAGGAUGAUAUCCCGAUAUUUACCAGUUAUUACUUGAACGAUACGGUUCAGUUGUUGUACGAAAAUAUUUAACAAGUUUUUGGCGCCGCUGCCGGGGAGCAAUGAGCGAUUUAUAGUAGUUCUAUAGCAAGUUUAUUGAGUAUUGUAAAUAUUUAUUUUUAAUUUUUGUAGUAUAAUUAACCUUUGUGCUAACCUUUGUUGUUGUCUGCUUAUUUAUGCUUUUGCGAGGUAAGGCUAUCGAAGAACAACUACAGUACAAUCUAGAAAUCGAGAAACCAGCCAAAAGCAACCAUAAGAAAGCAAAAGAGAAUAGGAAGCAAGAGACUCAGGAAGCACAUGGUAGCUCUAAACAAUCAAUAAAUUCAGAGCCUCAGUACGAGAAAUGGAGAAUGCCAAUGCUACUACAGGGAAUAAUGAGAGGCCUAAUCCUCCAAGGAGGACGUUGGGUGAUUAUGCAAUGUAUCAAGGUCUAAGGCACUACUAAAUCAUUAUUAUUCCACACACAGAGAGAACAGUGGAAAUUAAGCCAACAUUCCUGAAUCUGGUUAGUGCACAUCAAUUCUCUAGGAAGGAUUACGAAGAUCCUUAUGCACAUCUAGACAACUUCUUUGAACUAGUGGCAACAAUAGGUUAUACUGAUGCUGAAAGAGAAGCUGCAUACAUGAUGUUGUUCCUAUUCUCUCUGUUGGGCGAAGCUACGGAUUGGCUAAAAUCCCAUAUGUUGGCAUUUGUUCCUAUUCUCUGUGUUUCAUGAAGCUACAUACAUUUGACUAGGUUUUUUCCGCCAGCUCGUUAUGUGUAUGCCAAAUUUGAAAUAUCCACUUUUAGAUAAGGCGUAGAUGAAGCAUUUUAUGAAGCCUAUGAGUGUUUUCAUGUGCUACUGAGAAAAUGCCCCAAUCAUGCUUUUGAGGAUGUGGAUCAGCUUAAUAUAUUCUACAAUGGGUUGAAGCUUGAGACCAAAAUAAUACUAGAUGCAGUAGUUGGUGGAACAAUGAUGGUUGUGGAUGUUGAACAAGCUACAAGAAUCAUAACUGUCCUAUCUUUAACAGAUAGAUAAGCACAACACAAUCAGAAGACAAUACAGAAAAAGGGAAUGCUUAAUUUGAAUACAUCUGAUGCUAUUCUAGCACAUAAUAAAAUUUUGACUCAACAGAUAGAAGCACUUACCAAGCAAAUGUCAAAGUUACCACAACAACUCCAUGUUGUACAAUCUACUCCGAGUCCACCAGUGCUGAGAUGUGAUUUUUGUGGAGGUGAUCAUGAAAAUGGUAACUGUUCUAUGCCUAACAACAAUCUAGAGGAAAAGGUUCAAUAUGUAAAUAAUCAACCUUGUCAGGGAAACUUUCCCAACAAUUCUUCAUAUAACAAUCAGUUAUCGCAAGGUUGGAAAGAAAAUCAGAACCAGAAUUAUGGUUGGAGGCAAGAAGUAGGAUCAUCCACUAGGUAACCACCAUUUCAACCAUCAUACUAGCAGGAUCCACACCCACCAUUGCAUGAGAGACAAACAAAAUUAGAAGACACUUUGGAGAAAUUCAUGCAAGUCUCCAUCAUAAAUCAGAAGAAUACUGAUGCUUUUAUCAGAAAUCUAAAGACACAAGUGGGGCAAUUAGAAAAGAAGAUGGCAAAACAACAUUCUGACCCUAAAAUUUUUUCCGCCAAUACCCAAACCAACCCUAAGGGACACUGUAAAUCUACCACUACUAGAAGUGGGAAGGUAAUUGUUUGGGGUAUUGGUGAAAAUUUGGUGGUUGAGGAGGAAGUCAUUGAGGAAACAGAGGCUGAGAAAAGAGAUAAUGUAAUCAAAGAGACACAAAAGGGUAAACAUGUACAGGAAGAGGAUAAAAUUGCAAACACGGAGGAAUCAAUGAGGGAGAAUAAUGACAAGAGGAAGAAUGGUAUGCCUCUACUAAAGGUUCUCCCUUAUCCUACGAAACCUUCUAAAAAAGAUAAGGAAAGAUAGUACACUAGGUUCAUGGAUUUAUUCAAGAGCCUACAAAUCAACAUUCCCUUUAUGGAAGCUAUGGAACAAAUGCCAACAUAUGCAAAGUUCAUGAAGGAUUUGUUGACGAAGACAAGAAAAUUUUCAGAAGAAACAGUGACAUUGGAAGCUAGAUGUAGUGCGAUUAUUCAGAAGUCUUUACCUGAGAAGACUAAAGAUCCAGGCAGCUUUACAAUAUCGGUCACUUUAGGUGAGUUAUCUAUAGGGAAGGCACUGCUUGAUUUAGGUUCUAGUAUUAAUAUGAUGCCCUUGUCCAUGUUAAAAAGAAUUGGGGAUCUAGAGAUAAAGCCUACCAGAAUAACACUGCAACUUGCUGACAGAUCACUGAAGUACCCAUAUGGAGUUGAUGAAGAUGCUUUGGUCAAGGUGGAUAAAUUGGUAUUCCUUGUGGAUUUCAUCAUAAUGGAUAUCGAAGAGGACAAUGAAGUUCCUCUAAUUCUGGGCAUACCCUUUAUGAAGACUGCUCGGAUGAUUAUUGAUGUGGACGAUAGUAAGUUGAAAGUGAGGGUACAAGAUUAGGAAGUGAAUUUUAAUGUAUUUGAGGUAAUGCGGCAACCCAAGGACAAGCAACAUUGUUUUAGAGUGAAUGUCAUUGAAGAAGUGUACAUGCAUGAUGACAUUCACCUGAGUAGAAGUAGUCCACUGGAAAAAGCUUUGAGAGAAAAAAUGUAAGAAAGCAAUAUAGAGAAGAAAAAGAAGAUUGAGACAUGUCUGGCAGAGUUAGAGGCAUCUCGAGAGGUUGCAUCUGGUCAGAAUCACAUUGCAGAAUUAGUCAAAGAGAAGGAAAUUGAAAUUUCGAAGGUGGAGCUAAAACUGCUUCCUUCACAUCUUAAAUAUGUGUUUUUGGAAGAUGGAGGAAAUAAACCGGUCAUAAAAUCAACAACACAUUAUCAUAUGCAGAAGAAAAACAAUUGAUAGAUAUGCUAAAGAAAAAUGCAGGGGCUAUAGGUUGGACACUAUUUGAUUUGCAUGGAAUUAGUCUUUCAUACUGCAUGCACGAAAUCCAUAUGGAGCAGGACUACAAACUAGUUGCUCAACCUCAAAGUCGUCUCAAUCCUACAAUGAAAGAUGUGGUGAAGAAGGAGGUGAUGAAACUUCUGGAUGCAGGAAUGGUUUACCCAAUAUCUGAUAGUACAUGGGUGAGUCCGGUUCAAGUGGUUCCAAAGAAGGGAGGAAUGACUACGGUGAGGAAUGAAAAAAAAAUUUGAUACUUACUAGAAUAGUCAUAGGCUGGAUUAUGUGUAUUGAUUACAUGAAGUUGAACCAGGCUACCGAGAAGGAUCAUUUCCCUCUACCAUUUAUGGAUCAGAUGAUUGAAAGGCUAGUUGGACAAGUAUUCUAUUGCCUUUAAGAUGGGUAUUCAGGAUAUAAUCAUAUCACUAUGGACCCAUAUGAUAAAAAAAGAUAGUUUUCACAUGUUAUUCGGACUGUGCAAUGCACCAGUCAUAUUUCAAAGGUGCAUGUUGUAACACCGUGAAUUUUCAAUGUAUAUUGUAGUAAUUAUUUAUUUUAACAAAAAAUUAUUUUAGAAAUUAAUUAGUAAUGAUUUAUGCUAAACCUUAGUUGAGUGUUAGUCUUGUAUAUAGAAUUCCUAUUUUUUGGUAAAUUUUUGUAAUUAUCUGUGACAGAAAGUUUUUAGACUGCUGUCGGGCCCAAAUUCUCCGAAUUCAGUCCGAUAACGUGUUUUUGAGUUUCGUAUCUCGAAAUUGAAUUUCGAUUGCGCCAUUGGCUUCGAAAUAUUAUUUCGAGUCAAGAUAGACAUCAAGUUUGUCCAUGACGCAUUUCUAGAUAUUUUUCACUUUGAAUUCUAUGUUCGAAAUUCUAACCGUAAACAAAAAUCGGAAGAUUUUUAAUAUCAAAUCGAUUAUUAGCCGAUAAUACUCGGACAUGAUUUAAGCGUUAAUGUUUCAUCGAAGAGGUCACUUCACUUUCACGAGUGAACCUUGCUUGUCAAGCAAGCAAAAAUAUUCAUUUCUUACACAAAACCCCUUAAACUUAUCAUCUACCCAUCACACCAUUAUUAUUUGAAAACCUUUGAUUUGCCCUCCCUAAACAAGAUUCAUUACCUUAAAAGAGUCCCUCUCACUUGGAGAACCCUUGACAUUUCAUUUCUUUCUUUUUCAUUCGGAUUUUCUCAAGAACUCCAAGGUAAGUUCUUAGUUUCCGUUCUUCAUCUCUUAAAAUCUAACCGUUAGUUGUUUACAAAAUUUUAGUAUGAUGUUUAUACGCAUGUUACAAACGUUUUCAACCGUAGAAACUUUCUAAUAAUCUUCCUAACUCUUGUUUUACUCAAGAACUCAAAAAAUGGAUUUUCGUGAAUUUAGAAAUUGUUGUUUUGAAACCAUGAAAUCUUGUUGUUCAUGGGGUUGUUUUAGUGUUUAAAAACAUGCAUGUUGUUGAUUUUGAUGAAAUAAGAUGAUGAAAUCAAGGCUCUCUUGAUUUAGAAUGUCGUUUUGAGCAUGAGAUCAACCAUUGUAAAGAAGGUGUUGGAAUGAUCAAGAACACGAUAUGAAUCGUGAACGAGACUUUCGAGGAUAAAGGAUGGUUCAAGAAUAUGAAUCUUGGAUCGCAUGGAUGAAAGUCUCGGAUGUUCUUAAAAUAGAUUAACAUGAUGUCUUUAUCUUAAAGUAGUAGGAAAACCAUUUAACUCGCAAAUCACUAAUUGGGUUUUGUGUUUAGUUUCGAGGCGUUCGAAGUCGGACAACCUACUCAUUCACGUAAAAGAGAUCAACCGCGUUUCAAACCAAGGUGAGGGAGAAUACAUCGUGACAUAGUGGUGUCCGAAUAUGACACCCGGAUCUCCCAACUACCUCAAAAGUUGGGAGCUAUAUUUAUUUUUAUUUAGAAAUUCGUACUUAACCAAAUGAUUGUGUGCGUGGAUUAAGUAAGGAUGAUUUCUUAAGCUGUAUGCCCUAGGAUAGUUUAAAAUAUCAAGUAUUGUGUUAGUUAUCCAUUAAGGAGCACCACUCGAGAAACUAAAAUGCGUAGGGAUCGAAAACAACGGAGAUUUUCAAUCCGGUGGCCCAAACGGGCAAGGAAGUAGUCUUGGCUGCUGGACCUCCUCACCUAGGUGAGGAAUAAAUAGUAGUCCUAGUCCCCAAUGGUCACUUGGGUGAUCCAACCUCGCUUGAGCGAGUGGUUCUCGCUUGGGCGAGGGCUAGUCAGGCGUUUUGCCUAUUCUGGUCGCCCGAGUGAUAGUAUCUCACCCGGGCGAGACCCAGACGGCGGUUUUGACUAGUUUUUGGUGGAUUUUUUGCUUGAGCAAGAGCCAUGCAGGGAAUUGAGUCUGUUUUGAUGAAAUUAUCGCUUGAGCGAGAGACAUGCAAUGUUUUUUAUUGCUUAUUAUUGGUUGAUUGGUUAGCCAAUAACCCUAGCUUGGGUGAGAAUUAUAUAUAAUAAUUGGGAGAGAUCGUGGCUCGAACCAAGAACCCGAUGCCCGAAGCAACAAACUUAUAUAGUUACUUUUGUUCUUGCACCUUAUGCGGGCAAGGAUUCUGACGAUGAUGUCAUGAGCAAGGUGAUUCCUAAAAAGGAUUACAUGAUAUCAUGCAGCAAGGUCAUCUGAUCAUAAGAGGCUUGGCCAUGUGGUCGUCCAAGAUAAUUCAGCGAUGGUUCGUAGUGGUAGGAUGUUAUUUCUCUAUUACGUGAUAACGUAAGAUCGGAUCCCAUAAGAAGCAUUCAUUUGGGAGAUGUCUUAGGAUGGGCCAAUCGUUUUAAAAUAAUGAUUAAAAGAUUUAAUCGCCUAACCUCGGUUAGUGUGCAUACUCAUUACUAAUAAGGAAGUAGUGGAAAUAAAAUUUACGGGAGACAAACGAGCCCCGCGAUGUUGAGAGGGGCGGCGAUGUUGGUGAUUCGUCACCAUAGUCUUGAGGGAGAGUCUAGGUGAGACGAGUCCCUUGUAUUCCUGGAUGAGGUAUUUUGCUGGAUCGGACAGUUCUCACGGUGCAAACUAGACGAUCUCUAACAACCCAUCUUUGCAAUUAGGAUCAAUGAGAGGGAUGUCCAGAAAGUGUUUGAUACGACACCGUCUUGAAAUGGACAGUUCUUUGGAAUCGAUUGAUCAUAUAUCCUUGUAAGGAAUAAUUUUUGGUCCAUUCAAAUCGGCUUGUUAUGAGACUUGUACUCGUGGUUAUUUCCGAUUAGUAUAUUGGGAUGAUAUUAGUGUAAGGAUGGAUGAAAUAAGCUGACACGAACCUCCUUUGAGAAGGUUCUCAUUUCACGAUCGUUCUUGGAUGGUGUAUCACCUUUGGCCGAGAUUGCUUGAAACAUGGCCUAGGCUAGCUUUAUUUUUGGCCGAGACAAAUUGAGUAAAUUUAGCCAGGGGAAAUAAACUUGCUUGGAUAAAAGAAAUGGAGAAGAUAUAAAGAUGAUGGUGCCACAAACUUAAUUCCUUAACUUUUAACUCAAACAAACUUAAUUUCAUUCAGUGAAUUAGAAGUACACUUAUAGGCAAACCAUGAUGGUUCUCACGUGACUCUACCAUGAAUCAAGGCUUAUUUUUGGACUAGAUUAAUCCUAAUACAUGGCUGGUUACAUUGGAUCCCUUCCAACCAUGUUUAACACGAAAUAAUGCUAGUAAAUAUCCCACAUGGGAAUUCCUAAGUAAUUAAAUUACAAAAUGCAAAAUACUUUGAAUUUCCAUGAAGAAGUGAUGCACUUUAGUCUAGGACUCCUUGAGAAUUCGGCCAUCAUUGAAUGCAUAUGGUCCGCACGAGUUAAGGAGGCAAUUUGGACUCUGAAUUGUGCAUGUAACUUGGUUUGAUGCUGUGAACACCCAAAUUUGUCCUACAUUUACUUUUUAUUUUUAGCAUAAAAAAUAUAACACCAUUUCUAUACCCACCAGAGCAUUGGGAUAAUCAAGUUGCAGAUUAAUAUUAUUGAUAUGAGUCAUAGGCGGGUAAUGCUAAAAAAAAUCAAUUAUGUCUUCUAAAGUAAUUUACAUACAACCAGUACCCUCACAGUGGUUAUCCACUCUAGGAUGAUUAGUACAUUCAUAAGUCUCACAACACAAGGAACCUAAGCCACUUCGAUAUAGUGCAUUGACGCUAUUGCUAUGGCUAUUAAACAAUUCCAGCACCUGAUUCUCGCAGCUAAAAAAGAGGAUGGCAGUAAUAUUGUUUAUAUCAAAAGAGGAUGCCACAUUAAAAUGCUAAAACAUGGACAAGAGUUCCCAUCCCAUACUGGGUUACAUUUUCUAAAUAUUUCUCUAUGAGCAAGAAUAAAUAAUACUAAGAAACUUCAAAAGGUUCAACGCAUGAAUAUUACAUCAUUUUGUUCUUUUCCCACCAUAAGGCUACAAAUGCAAACUUAAGAUUGAAGGAAACCGCAUCCAGAUUCUAAUGAAGGGGAGUCACUUCAGCCUCGCAACCACAAGCGAAUCACGAACAAUUGAUCAAUACUGGACGUACAAGUUAUCUUCUAUGGCCAACUUCCAACUGCAAAAAAAAGGGGGAAAAAGAAAAGCAUAUGCACAAAACAAUAGAACAACACUAACAAGCUCAAAGCAGUUAAAUUAUGUUGAGGAUGAAACAAAUACACAAUCUGAUCCAGCUAUCCAAUAAUUCCCAAAUACGGUUAAGGGUCGUAAGUGCAUACCUACAACAAGCACUUAUAACUUUGUCAUCCUUAUGCUGAUACAGGAAUGUUGAGGAUCACUUGAAUAAACUCACUGCUCCAGAAUCUGCAUACGUUAUGGGACCUUAUUCAUUAAUAAAAAUGAUUAGUAAAACGUACAAAGAAUAAGAAAUGUUAAAUCAAUGAAUGAAGAGAACAAUCAGGAAGAAAUUCAAAGAGGCACAAUUAAAGUGUCAUUGGCAGCAAAAACACAUGGUAAAUAGCAGAGACAUCAAAGAAUGGAAUAUUCAGUUACAAACAGCCAUAAAUAAGGCAAUUAUUGAGCAAUUGAAACAGUGGUAAGCUGCCUGAGACCAACUCAGCAGACCCAGGAAUAUGUCAUCAGUUACGUGUGCAUUUAAUCCGCAUGAAUGAGUCAGUUUCUAAACACAAAAGUCAGUAUUAGUCCUGACUCUCAAUAGGCAACCCAGGAGACCCAGAAGGUUGGCUAUAAAAGGCAUACUAUGUCAUAAGCAGAACACACAGAGGUCCUACCAAAAAUAUUCAUAAGCUAUCUACCAUAAACACACAUAAGAAGAAAAAUAAAGAACGGAGAAAAUACUUGAGUAUUCAUAUUAACAUACCACACACCACAACACAGAGAAGUAAUCAGAGGUAACAACACAGCCAUAAGAAAAUCAGAGAGAAGACAAGAAAACCAGAAAAACAUACAUUGCAACGGG